rnacentral:lncRNA from 1 species
UGUGCUUUGUAGAAUCAAUUUGACAGAGUUUUGGCGCUUUUGAACUUGUAUAUCUCUAUCUACAAUCUUCAAGUCUUCACUCCUUUAUAUAGAGGUGUGAAAGAGAUGUUGAGAUUAUCAGCACGUCUAAAGAGUCGUUUGAAAUCCUUUAAUCAUCCACCAGUGAUCCUUUGCCUGAUAUGGGUGUAGUCCUUUGAAGAGUUAGCUUCAAAAUCAUUCCCAUCUUGAAGGCGCACAUUCUGCAGGCAAGGCUGUUGUUUUGUCUUGUAGCGAAGACAAAAACAGAGUAAUGGAGGUAGUGGUUGUACACUUGUACUUUGUCAACUCUAGUAAAGAGAGACAAGUGCUCAGUGCUAUCCAUAUAUCCGUUGGAACCUCCCUUUCAAUUCUUUGUUCUUCUUGGAUAAGACUGAAUUGAGAGCCAGCUACUUUGAAUCUUCAGUUUGAUUGAGGGAUCAAAUGCAGCUUCUGGUGAAGAUAUUUUCCUUCUGAUGAAAACCUUGCUUCUGAUGAUCCUCUGCUUCUGAUGACGUCAUCACUUCAGAAGCACUCUGAACUUCAGGAGCGAUUUUCUUCAGAUGCUUGGAAUUCUUUUUCUUUCCAUUGUUCUUCCAGGACCUGUUGAAAUUACUUGACUAGACUUUGGUCCUGUACACUUGAACAAUUAUUAGUAAUAACCAAUUGACAAUUUUUAAUACCUUGUUAUCAUCAAAACUCAAUAAGGUUCAUUGUGAAACCCAUUUUGUUCCAACAAUCUCCCCCUUUUUGAUGAUGACAAACACUAGUAUUUAAAAUGUUCAAUUGUUGUUGAUCUAAUUAAUAAGUUGACUUCUGGAUAGAGGUUUGUAAGCUCCCCCUGAGUCUAAUAGAUCUUUAAGGUGAGGUUUGUAAGCUCCCCCUGAGUUCUAUUCUUAUUAAUUAAAUUUCAAUAAAGUAUAUAUAAAAACAAUAGCAAAAGUAUUUAAGAAGGUGGUUAUAGUGGGGCUCAGUGUCUUAAAAAUACUAUACAUUUACUCCCCCUUUUGUCAUCAACAAAAAGAAUAAGAACAAAAGACAGAGUAGCAGAGCAUAUAACCAAAUAAAAACAGAAGAAGAAUCAGAGCAAGAAGUAUCAGAGCAUAUGACAUUAAAAUCAAUAAAUAUCAUUAGAGUUUAAAAGAAAAGAGCAUAAUAUUUCAGAAACAUUGAUAAUAUUUAUAAAGAAAGGUUAAGGUACAAGGAUAAAACUACACAGAACAAAAGUAAAAACAAGCUAGAGUUGGGUGUGCAACUAAGGUUGGGCUUGCUUCUUCAACUGUUCUAAGAGAAGUCUAAUCUGUUCAUCCUUCUUCUGAAGUAGCUCAUCCUUCUUCUGAAGUAGUUCUUCCUUCUCUCUUAACUUCCUCUUAUGCCCAGCAUGAAUUCUUGCAGCUCUUGUGAUGUAUUCUGCCUCUGGAUAGAAAGGAGUGAUGUCCAGUAGAGGCACAAAGUUCAGCUCUUUCUCCUUAGCUGCUUCAUGCAUAUCAUCCAAAAGCUUUUGAAGCAUUACAGAGUGGGAUGAUACACACUUGGUUCUUAGCUGACUUAGUAGAUCAUUGAAGCUCUUUUGUAGAUCCAUCCACUGAUCAUAAUAGUGAAUAGGAGGUACAGGAACUGUUCUGCGAAGAAUCAGUGCCUGAAUCUCAUCACUAAGACUAAUCAGUUGUUCCUCUAUAUACUCAGACUCCAGGAUAUGGUCAGGAAUGGGUGAUGGUUGCAUUGGAGUUGUAUUUGAUGAGGAAGGUUGGUCAGAGGUUAAGUCUAUGAAAGUGGGUGAAUCUGGUUGUUGUUGUGGUUCUGUUGUUUGGUCAGAAGAUAUUUGUUGGUCAGGAGCAACUUGUUGGUCAGGAGCAACUUGUUCAGGAACAACUUGUUCAGAAACAGUUUGCUCAGGAAUGGUUUGGGUUUCUGUUUGGGUUUCCAAAACAGUCUUUUCAGGGACUGUCUUAGAGGCCUUUUUGGGUGUUGGUUGCAUUUCACCACCUAGAUGUUUUUCUAAGUUGUGAAUGGUUGAGGAUUCUUGGUGUUGGGGGGUUUCUGAAGUAGUUGCUUCUGAAGCUACUUCAGAGGCUUUUUGUGGAGUUUGGUUAUUUGGAGAGUUUGUUUGGUUAGGUUCUUGGUUAGGUUCAGGAUGUUGUAUACUGACAGGUUCUGGAAUAUCUGGAUAAAGAGGAUGAGAGGUAGGCAAAUUGAAUUUCUCACAUAGUUUAAUCCUAUUUUUGGAAAAUUCUAUUUGAGUUCUCUCAUAGUCAAAUGUUCCAUAUUCUGUCAGUUUGGUAGGUUUGGUUUUUAGNNNNNNNNNNNNNNNNNNNNNNNNNNNNNNNNNNNNNNNNNNNNNNNNNNNNNNNNNNNNNNNNNNNNNNNNNNNNNNNNNNNNNNNNNNNNNNNNNNNNUACUGAAUACGAANUCUANGCUCUGGUACCAACGUUAUUACUAAUUAAUGAUGUUGUUAUGUUGUAUAUGAAUUAGGAUUAAUGAUGUUGUUAUGUUGUAUAUGAAUUAUGAUUAAGAUGUUGUUAUGUUGUAUAUGAACUAUGAUUAUGAUGUGAUGAUCUAUGUUGUUAUGAUUUGGUUAAUAUGUGUUAUAUGAUGAUGUUUAUAAUGUGAUGAAUAUGAAGUAAAUGAUAAUUAGAAGUUGGUUGAACUAUUAAGAAUUAUUACAUAAAGAAUUAUUAUUACUAAUCGAUGAAAUUAAUUAUGUUGUUAAAUAUAAUUAUUGAAUUAUAUGCUUGAUAUUAUUGUUUUGUGAAAUCUCACCCCUUCUACUUGGAAAUGUUGCUCUUCGUAUCAGUAACUUGCAGGUGAUCGAGUUUAAGUUGCUGUUAGAUUGCUGUUGUGAGUGGAUUAGCUCUCAUGUGUGUCUUUAGGUGCUCUGAUACGUAACGGGAUGAGAAUUUUAUUGUUGUCUUUCUAUUCCUUAUGUAUUGUUUUAAGAAGAAUUAUGACUAUGGUUUUAGAUUGGAUUAUAUGAGAAAUUUAUGAAGAGACCUUCGUGCCAAAGACUGUUUAGUUAUUGAAUAAAUUCCGCUGCGAAGUGUUAAAGAUUUUGUUAUUGAAUUUUAAAGGAUAAAUAGUUAUUUAUUCAGUUUAUGAUUUUAAGAAAAAGAAUGUGACAUUCCAUUUAUGUGAAUACUCUGAUUAUAUUUAUGCGAAAUUUUUAUGUUGGGAAAACGGAGUGUUACAUAAUGUAUAUUUAUACAUAUUAUGUUGAGGGCUUGAUGCCCUGUAAGUUAAGGGCUUGAUGCCCUGUGAGCCUAUUUACACUCAAUACGUUAGGUGUAACGCACACCUUUGUUUAAUCGUUUAUUUAAUCGAGUUUAGGCAAUUAUAUUAUAAUUAUAUAGUAUAUGCAUGAUUUUGAUAUGUUUUGAUGAUUUGUGGUGAUUUUAGUGAUUUGAUUGAUGACGUGAUAAGUUAUGAGUUUUGGAAGAUUUGAUAAGGAUAUGAGAUUUAUUUUAUUGUUAAAUAGAAUAAAGAUUUGAAAAUAAUAUAAAAUAUUUAGUUGAGGGCUGUUUUGAUAUUUUAGAUAGUUUUGGGGGAGAAAGUGAGAUAAGAUAAGUAAUUAAUAGGAGAUAUAAAAGAUUAGACCUAGUUUAGAAAAACAUAACGUACGUACGACCGUUUUUGGAGAAAAGGGAGAAAAAGCCAAGUCUAGAGAAACCAAGGGGCAGUGCUGCGAUUUUCUUCAAACAAGGUAAGGGUGAGACUAAUAAUUCAAUAACGUUGAUUGCUGUAAUUCUGAUGAUUAAUUGACAAAGUUAGGAUUGGUUUAGAAAAGUUUUGGAAUUAGGUCAAAACCCUAAAAAUUGAUGAUCAAACGGUAAAACUUGUUUAGAUUGAUGUAGAAACCGUCCUUUAACCUUAGAACAUGUUUAGGAUGGAUUAUGGAAUCAAAAUUAGGCUUUGAACCAUGUUGUUUGAUGGAUUUUCGAGUAAACCCUUAGUCUGCCCGAGCUUCUGUUCAUCGCUCGCCUUGGCGAGGGAUGAUCCUCGCCUCGCGAGUGAUGAACUUCAUCGCCACGCGAGCAAUUCCCUUCGCCUCGCGAGUUGUGUGACGCAGCUCGCCACUGCGAGCAACCUUACUCACCAUCGCGAGCUAAGGCAGAGUGUAUGUUAGAUUUUGUGUUUCGACCUGUUUAGUUGGACCUUGUAUGCCUUUGAGUGCCUGAACAUACCUAGUAUUGAUUAGGAAUGAAUGUAGGAUCAGAGGGAACCCAGAACAAGAUUAGUUUGGGAGUUGAGUGGUACUCGCCAUGGCGAGUAAGAACUCUCGCCUCGCGAGCACAAUCAGAAUGUAGUUGCUUGAGUGUUUGUGCGAUCUGUGUCGCACGUGUUGACCAAGAGUGAACCCCUAAUUGGUAUUGAGACCUAAUGAUGACGUUUAAUGCAGUCUGUAGACUUGUUUAAGUUAUGUUGAUAUUAAUUGAACAUGAACUAAUGUAUUGUAUAUUCAUGCAAGAUAUGAAGGUUUGAUAAUGAUGCAAUUUGUGUGCUAUUGAUAUAAUGAUAUCAUCUUGUUAUGUGACUUGUUUAUGCUGCUUCCGUUAUUUAACUAAGUGCAUAAGUAUAUGAUGAAGUUUAGCUCCAAAUUAUUGGAUGCAUGUUGAUAUGCUGAUUACGAUGUUUUGUUCAUAAGUGUCCAUGCAUAGCAUCUCAUUGAGCUUAGUCCUCACCACGAUUAUUAGGAGUUUUGUCCUCCGCACAUUUUAUAGGAGCUUUGUCCUCCGCACGAUUAAAGUAUAUUAAUACUUAUGAUGACGAUUGGUACCACAUGCAUAUAAGGAGUCUAAGAGCAUUGUCACAUUGUCAUGAUUAAGAUGCCUUGUUGAUGAUGAUUGAAUACGUGAUUACGUGAUAAAUGUUUAUCAAUUAUGUUAUGUUGUUCAUGAUAAUUGGAUAUAUGAUUACGGUAUAACUGUUUAGUAAAUAUGCAAUGUUGUUAAAGAAAUGAUUAUGAUGUUAAUUUAUGAUUCGCAAUUACAUUGAUUAAUGUUAUUUUGUUAUGAAAUCUCACCCCUUCUGCUUGAAAAUGUUGCCCUUCGUAUGGGUAACUUGCAGGUGAUCGUGCUUAGUGUGCAGUUGCCGUCGUGAGUGGCCUUGUCUUCACUGUGUCGUCUAGGUCGCUCUGAUACGUAACGGGAUGGGGUUUAAUGUUAUACAUGCUUCAUUCUUUUACGUGAUUAAUAUGUUAUUUUUAUCAUGUUAUGGAUUACGAACUAUUUUAAUGGGGCCUACGUGCCAAACUGAUUUAUGAUUUUCGAAUUAGUAUUCCGCUGCUAUGUUAAGAAUAUUUUGUGAAGGUUAAAUUAUUAUUUAACUGUUUUUGGAUUACGUUUCUAUGUGAUAUCCCGUUUAUGGUUUUUACUCUGAUAAUUGUUUAAGAAAUUUGUAUAUUGGGAAAACGGGGUGUUACAUUGGGGGCUUGAUGCCCUGGUUGGUACCACAUGCAUGAUUAAGAAGUUGAAGUUGCAUUUGUCGAGUUCAAGUUCUUGAAACCGCGUUGUCGUUUUCGUUAAUUAAGUUGUAAUUUAUCAAUGAGUUGUUAAUGAAGAACUAUGCGAAGUAUUAAUAUUUAUUAAUCGUUGUUGUUUAUGUUGUUAUAUGAUGAUGUUUAUGAUGCGAAAUAUUAAUUAUUAUGUUAUUGAAUUUUGAAGGAUAAUUACUUAAUUAUUCCGUUUAUGAUUUUAAGAAAAGAAGUGUGACAUACCGUUUAUGUGGAUUAUUCUAAUUAUUUUUAUGAAAUUUUUAUGUUGGGAAAACGGGGUGUUACAAUUGGUAUCAGAGCAGGUCGGUCCGUCCGGCCAAGUAGUUGAGUCAUUUGUGUCGUGUGACAGUUGAAUACUGUCGUUGUGUUUUCUAAUUAAUGGUUAUGUUUUUAUUUUUAUUUUUUAUGUGAUCAUGUCUGACUAACUAACUUUAAUGUGAUUUUUGUGUAUUGAUGAAGUUUCCAUUUUGUUAUAUAGUUUAAGAUAUUUAAGUGAUCAUUGAAUUCAUUUUUCUCUUGUGUUUGAAUUUCGAGUACGAAAUUCUUUUAAGGGGGUAGAGUUGUAACGCCCUCUUUACUUAUUUAAUUAUUUUAUAGAGUUUAUAGUCCACUUUGAUAAUUUAUGUGAUUUUAUAUGAUUAUGUGAUGUAUUGAUAUUUUAUUUAAAGACUUGUUUUAUUAUUUACUAGAAUAAGAUUUGAAAAUAAAAUAAAUAUUGAGAUGUGGGGCUGUUUUGGAAUUUAGAAGAGUUUAGUGGAAAUAGAGGAAAUAAGAUAAAGUGGAUUGAGGAGAGAUAUAAGGAGGAAACUAGGUUUAGAAUUUUUUUUUACGUGAAACUGCUUUUUGGAGAAAAAGGGAGAAAACAAGAAAAGAAGAGAACCCAGAGGGAGAGAGACCGCCGAUCAUCAAUACUAAGGUAAGAGUGUGACUAACUUUCUCUAAUUCUAGGUUGUAUAAUUCUGAAAUUGAGUUUAACAUGUUGUAGGUUGUAGUUAUGGCAAUUUGGGAAUUAGGUUUUGAAGUUGUAAUUGGUUGUUAAUAGAGUAGAAAAUCCGUUGAAUUUAUGUUUAGAUCAUGGUGGUUAUUUUUAGUGCAAUGUUUUAUAUGGUUUUGAGUGCCUUAGCAUGUAUAGAAAUGGUUAGACAAGUUUUUGGAUCAAAUUUGGGCAUAGGGAAGUUAAAUUUGGGAAUUUCGGGUGAAAAGUGGAUUUUUCCCGAGUUGCUCUCUGACAGCAUGUCCUGUUCCAUGUUCUUGUGUCUUUUUCACACAUUUCUGUUUUGAAUUGGCCUUUGGUGUAAACAUGAAAGUUGUAGAUAAUUGAGUUAGUUUUCCAGUGGCUUUGGUUUGACAUGAAAAUGAUUUUUGGUUCUUGAGAUAUGAUGAAAAUACUCCAAGGAGGUCUUAGUGAAAUCUUAUGAAAUUGAAUAUGAGGCUGGGUAGGUGGCUUGAAUUGCUGAAGGACUAUGAAUUGAGUAGGAAGACUUUUCAUAUGUCCGCUAUGAUGGUAAAGGAGUUCGAGUUGCUUGAAUAGUUCAAAGAUUUGAGCCUAGUUUGCGAGAUGUCAUCUAAGAGUUUGAAGCUAGGAAUGCUGAAGAUUGAUAAUGAAUUUCUGAAAAGUAUUAAAGAAGCACAUAAAGUUGAUGUUAAGUUUGUAGACUUGUUGGUUGCUAGUAAUCAGACUGAAGACAGUGAUUUUAAAAUCGAUGAUCAAGGUGUGUUGAGGUUUCAAAAUAGAAUAUGUAUUCCAGACGAUGAUGAGAUGAAGAAGAUGAUUCUCGAAGAGAGUCAUAGAAGUAGCUUGAGUAUUCACCCGGGAGCUGCGAAGAUGUAACAUGAUCUAAAGAAGUUAUUUUGGUGGUCUGGGUUGAAACGCAAUGUGGCACAAUUUGUGUAUUCUUGUUUGAUUUGUCAGAAGUCGAAGGUUGAGCAUCAGAAACCUGCUGGUAUGAUGGUGUCUUUAGAUGUGCCAGAGUAGAAAUGGGAUAGCAUAUCCAUGGAUUUUGUGACAAGCUUGCCAAAUACUCCUUAAGGGAAUGACGUGAUUUGGGUGAUUGUUGAUAGAUUGACGAAGUCGGCUCAUUUUCUUCCGAUUAAUAUAAGUUUUCCUGUUUCUCAGUUGACAGAGAUUUAUAUUCGAGAUAUUGUGAAGUUGCAUGGUGUUCUUUCGAGUAUUGUAUCAGAUAGAGAUCCAAGAUUUACUUCUAGAUUUUGGAAAAGUUUGCAAGAGGCUUUGAGUUCUAAGUUGAGGUUGAGUUCGGCGUAUCAUCCGCAGACAGAUGGUCUGUCAGAGAGGACGAUUCAGUCGCUAGAGGACUUGUUGAGGGUUUGUGUGCUUGAGCAAGGAGGAACUUGGGAUAGUCAUCUUCCAUUGAUAGUGUUCAUGUACAAUAAUAGUUAUCAUUCUAGUAUUGGAAUGGCACCUUAUGAGGCUUUGUAUGGUCGGAGAUGCAGAACUCCGUUGUGUUGGUUUGAGUCAGGUGAAAGGGUGGUUUUAGGACCCGAGAAUGUUCAACAAACUACUGAGAAAGUUAAAAUGAUUCAAGAAAAGAUGAAAGCGUCGCAGAGUUGACAAAAGAGUUACCAUGAUAAGCGUAGAAAAGACCUUGAGUUUCAAGAAGGGGAUCACGUAUUUUUGAGAGUCACUCCUGUGACUGGUGUUGGACGUGCAUUGAAGUAAAGGAAGUUGACUCCGAGAUUUAUUGGUCCAUAUCAGAUAUCAGAAAGAGUUGGAACGGUGGCGUACCGAGUGGGUUUACCACCGCAUCUUUCGAAUUUGCACGAUGUGUUUGAUGUGUCGCAACUUCGGAAGUAUGUUCUGGAUCCAUCCCAUGUGAUCCAAAGUGAUGAUGUGCAAGUUAGAGAUAACCUUACGGUUGAGACUUUACCGGUGAAGAUUGAUGAUCGAAAAGUGAAGACGUUGAAAGGCAAGGAGAUACCUCUUGUGAGAGUCGUUUGGGAAGGAGCGACUGGUGAAAGCUUAACGUGGGAGCUAGAGAGUAAGAUGCUGGAAUCUUAUCCAGAGUUGUUUGCAUGAGGUAAAUUUUCGAGGAUGAAAAUCUUAUAAGUAUGGGAGAGUUGUAACGCCCUCUUUGAAUUAUUUAAUUAUUUAAUUGAGUCUAGAAGUUAUUAAGAUGAGUUUAUAUUAUAUUUAUAUGAUAUAUGUGUGAUGAAAAAGAUUUAUAUGAUUGAGGCGUUGUGACUUAUUUUAUUGUUUAAUAAAAUAAGAUUUGAAAAUAAAAUAAUUAUUGAGUUUAGGGGUUGUUUUGAGAUUUUAGAGAGUUUUGGGGGAGAAAGAGAAAUAAAAUAAGAUAAAUGGAGGAGAUAUAAAUAGGAGAGACCUAGUUUAGAAAAAAAAAAAUUACGUACGAUCAGUUUUUGGAGAAAAGAGAGAAAAAAGCCAAGAGGAGAGCAAGAGAUCUAGAGUGCUGCAAUUUUUUAUUCUAAGGUAAGGGUGAGACUAGCAUUCAAUUCUAUUAUCCUAUAUAAUUCAUAUGGUUGUAUUUAGCAAAUGUAGGAUUGAAUUAUAGAAGUUUGAAAACUAGGGUUAAUGAGAGAAAUUGAGGAUUAAUUGAUGUAGAAUGGUUAGAUUGAUGUAGGAACUAUUUACAAACUUUAGAUAAGUCAUAAGAUGAUUGCAGGAAUCAAUGUUAGGCUUAAAACCAUGUGAAAUAGUGAAUUUUCGUGAAAACUGCAAUUCUUCCCGAGCUAUGAUCCUCGCCAUAGUGAGUGAUGAACUUCAUCGCUCGCCACGCAAACAAGUUUUCCCCGCCCCGCGAGUUGCACCUUGCAGCUCGCCAUAUAGUGAGCAUAUUCAAUGGCCUAGCGAGUGUGACCAGAGAGGCAUCAUGAUUUCAUAAUUUUGACCUUUAAGUUGAACCUUAGAUGCUUUUGAGUGGCUGAACAUGUAUAAUGAUGAUUAGGAAAGAUUUUAGAAUGAGGUUGAACCUGGAAAGAUUUUAGAAUGAAGUUUUGUGAGUUGCACCUGAACUCGCCAUGGCGAGUAGAGGCUCUCGCCUCGCGAACUGCCCAAUUACAGAAUGCUUUGUUAGGUUAAAUGUGAUCCUUGUCGCACGAGUUGAUGUGAGUUGAUCUUAGAGGUUAGAAACUAAAUUGUUUAUCUUGAUGUUGCUGUUUCAGUAAGCCUGAAUUGUAUAAUCCAAUGUUGUUGUUUCGAUAUUGUUAUAUCAUGAUGAUUUGCAUACUGCCUAUGUUGCUGUUUGUUAUUUAACUAAGCUGCAUGAGUCGGUCUAAGUUGAUUAAGAUGAUGAUGUUGCCUUUGCUCACCACAUUGGGGGCUUGAUGCCCUGGAGCUUUAGCUCAAUUAUGUUGGGGGCUUGAUGCUCUGGAAGUAUAUUAAUACUUAUUACGUUGAGGGCUUGAUGCCCUGGAUUGAUACCACAUGCAUAUAAGAGGUCUAAGUUGCAUAGUCGCAUUCGUCGAGUCAAAGAUGUUAAGUUGCCAAGUUGUUGAAGUUGUGAUUCUUUAUAUAAGUUAUUAAUGAAGUGAUAUAUGAUAUAUUAUUAUCCAUGAUGAAUAUUAUGAUGUUUUCAUGUUGUUAAAUAUAAUUGUUGAAUUAUAUGUUUAAUAUUAUUGUUUUGUGAUAUCUCACCCCUUCUGCUUGGAAAUGUUGCUCUUCGCAUGAGUAACUUGCAGGUGAUCGAGAGUAGUUGUUGUUGCCUUGCUGUCGUGAGUGGUUAUCCCUCACUGAGUCUUUUAGGUGCUUUGAUACGUAACGGGAUGAGAUCUUUUGUGGCUAUUUCUUAUUCCUUUACGUAUUUGUUUUAUGAGUUUAAAUGAUUAAGUUGUUUAACUGAUUUAGGAGAUGUUUUGAUGAGGCCUGCGUGCCAAGACUUAUUUUUGUUGAUGAAUUUAAUCCGCUGUAAUGUUUUGGAAUUGAUUUAUGUUGAAGGAUAAUUAGUUAAUUAUCUCAUUUAUGAUUUUAUGAAGUGUAGCAUUUCGUUUAUGUGUUGAAUACUCUGAUAUAUGUUUGAAAUUUUUAAGUUGGGAAAACGGGGUGUUACACGGGGAGUGGUCGAUCGCCGGUGCACAAGGCACGACAAUGAACGACUCCCAACAGCUUAUAGAGGAACUGAAUCACACCGGAACGAGAGGGUUCCUGAGGUCGUGCAGGUAUGGAACUGCAUGGUUGAAGGAAAGCUUAUAAGAAUUGUUUGGUACUACCUAUAUCAACAAGAUGAAUCUUCUUUUCGGUAGCUCAUUCCAUAAGAACUCCGUACGAGUGAGGACAAAACACGCUGAAAAGACUCGUGUUGAUUUGUGGGGUCAGUCGACAAUCUUAGAUGCAAUCUGGAAUGUUACAUCAAGUUUCAGCUACCAAAGUCUACACUUUUACUACUAAUGUCAAGUCUGAAACUUCCUUCUUAUCUUCCAUGUGGACCAAUGUGGGACACUUCCUUUGAAUUAGUAACGUGUACCGGUCAAUGAAGGAUGGAUAGGUGGAUGAAGACUAGUAAUACUUAUGUAAACCAAUGCGUGCCUUUAAAAUCAAUGUCAAUGACUUAAAAAUCAAACUGACAUUUUCAAAUGGGUCCCUAAAAAUUAAUCAAGAACUGUGAUAUUUUGUUUAGACCUCAAAAGUUAAAAGUCGUUCUGAUAUUUAUUAUGUGUCCAAACAAAUACUUAAUCUCAUCUAUUGAACUGACAUUUUCAGCUCUUAUUAUGUGUCUAUACAUUAACUUGAUAUUUAUAUUUGAAAUUUGAUUCACCUCUUGUAAAUUCUUCAUAAAGUUUGAAAGAUAAAUAAUUAGUGUUGACAUCCAAUUUAAAAAGAGAAAUGAUAUUUGUACAACUAUUUUGUGACAACUUUUGUAUAACUUUCCUUCUCAUACUCACAUGAUGGUCUUAUCCUCUCUCUUCCUUUUUUUCUCUCUCUCUCUAUUAUUUUUGACCAAUAAAAAGAGAGAAAAACAAGGUUGUCAUUAAAGUUGUCAUGAAAUGGAUGUACAAAUAUCAUUUGCUGAUUUAAAAAUGAAUAAACUAAACAAGAAGCUAUCAUCUCUCUUUGAGAAACUUCAUUUCAACAUUUUAACCAUUAGAAGAGUGAGGAAAAUACAACAUGUUAGUAAGCUAGGUGUGUGAAAAUGAUUUCAUUUAUAAUUUCAGAAACUCAGUUCAAACGACAAGCAGGAAAAAAUACUUCAACUUACAAAAUGAUUGAUGUAAAAUCAUUAUUUUUCAUUUCUAAAUUUUAUCUGAUUCUAAUGUGUUGGUUGAUUUAAAAUAUCAUUUUAGUUGUAUUAAAAUAUUUACAUGGAAAUGUUUAAUUUGUAGGUGAUUGAUAAUUUCUAGUUGAAAAAAUAUAUUUUAUUUAAGCUACAGAAACGAGCAAGAAAGUAGAGGGGAAUGAAUACCCUGUAUGGUUCCUUAUAAAAUGAACCCAUGAGAAUAUUGGUCCAUGAUGGACCAAUUUUUUCAAUAGUUAGAUUAGAUGAACCCCAAAAUUUUAUCAUGAUCUAUAAACACUCAAUCUAACCCAUCUUCCCUUAUCAUUUUAUAAAAAAAUCAUUUUUACCCUUUAUAAUUAUUUUAAUUUAAAAUAUUACAUAUUGUUAUGGUAAUUUUUUUUUCUUGACAAAUUUGUUACAGUAAAUUUUUUUGUUGCUGUUUACACUUUUUUUCAUGAAUUUGUUACGGUAAAUGUUGGACAGCUGCAUAUUAUUAUUUGAUUUUAUUUUUACGAAAACUUACAAGUUUUUUUUAAGGAGAAUUUUUUUUUUUUUUUUUUUACAAAUAGGUGAAAGGGUACAUGCUAUUUUUUUUAAUAAGAAAAGGUACGUGUUAUUUUUAUUUUUUUGAAAGAAAAAAAUACAUGUUAAUGUUACCUGAAAAGUUUAAUUUAGUUACCGUUAUCAAUUAUUUAUUUUUGCAUUGUUUUUUUAGAAUAGUCAUAUUAUCCUUUCCAAAAGACUAAUAAUAGCAGUAACUGUUCAUUGCUAUCUUUUAUAAAACAAACUUUCUCGUUGCUAUGUUUAAGUAAAUGAAAAUAAAUUUUUGUGAGUAAAUAUUAAUUUAAUAUUAUAAUAUAAAAGAUAUGUUAAAUUAUUAAAUUCUAAAUAUUGAUCGAAAAUGAUGGGUUUUUAUUGAAAACAAUUGAAGAUUGAAUGUUGAAAUUACAGAAAGAAAAAGAAGGCAGAAAAAUAUUUUAAAAAGAGUAAAGAAAAUAAUCAGACAUGUAAAGUGCAUUAUGUUAUUGUGCAUACAUAUAAUCCAAUGGUUAUAAAUAUUGGUCCAUUAUGAACCAAUACUUACAUAGGUCCAAGCUAAAGGGAGCAGAUUCCCUCCUGUGAAAACUUUCUCCAGUUUUCUACUGUUUAAAUCUAAACCAUUAAAUACAUUAUCUCUCUUCAUUUUGACAUUUAAUUCCUAUUUAAUUCUUCACAUGUAUUUAUCAUUUAAUGGCUAGGAUUCCACAGGACUCUCCAGUCACAGGAGAAGAUCCAAUCCCCAAGCUAAAUGCCACUUUUUGAGACUUUGCCAAAGCUCGACAUGGUGUAACCACACGGUUAGAAGAAUUCAUUUUACUAUUUUAGUAACAUAAAUAAAGCUCUUCACAAAUAAGAACUGCUUCUUCCAAAAUGUGAUUACGUCGAAAAACAUUUAAACAAAGUAAGACUGCAUUCGUUCCAUACAAAUUUCAUCAUAUUAUUAUUCCUCAUGGAACUUCCCAACAGGAAAUCUAAAGUGAAACCAGUAGGAAUUUUUUGGGCUUUUGUCAAAACGUUAUGGAUGCAUUGAACUUGUCAAACAUAGAAACUGAUAAAACUUCCAAGCUAAGAGGUAUUUAAUACAAAAAAACAAGCAAUGUCAAGAAAUACAUUUUGCUCCUCUAAGUAUCUUUUGUAUCUCUUUAUUGGGAAUCCUGUCAUACCCAUCUAAUGUGUUCUUCCAUACUUCUAUGUUCUUUCCAAACAAGUUAGAACCCACUAUUUCUAAAACUAAGGGAAUGCCCGAACCAUAUGAAACUGCACGGUUUAAAACAUCUUCAUAACUUGGCGGUACUUUGUUAUUCUUAAAAGCCGUCCACCUCAACAAUUCAAGAGCUUCCUUCCCAUAUAGCCCUCUUACUGCAUAUGUUCUUUCUAUCCCAUGACAGGUUAGUAAGUGUUUAUCUCGGGUGGUGAUGAUGACUCUGCUUCCAGGACCGAACCAAUCAAGUCCUCCAGCCAAAGCCUCUAGCUGAUCCAGUUGGUCAACAUCAUCGAGAAUCAAAAGAAUCUUCUUCCUACAUAGCCUUUCCUUAAUGAUUGGAAUUCCCUCAGAAACAUCUCUUAACUUAAUGUUCAGUUGAACUGUUUUUGAAAGGAGCUCCUUCUGGAGAUGUUUCAAGUUUUUACGAGCUGAAUUCUCUCUAACAUUAUGAAGAAAGCAUACUCCUUCAAAUUGAUCAGCAAUGAAAUUAUAAAUUGCUUUUGCAAGUGUUGAUUUUCCCAAGCCUCUAGUACCAUAAAGUCCUACCAUGUUGACCCCUUCAUCAGAUUCCUCAUCAAGAAGCAAUUUUACUUGUUGUACUCGGGACUGUAAUCCAACAGGGUAUUUGGCAACGUGUAGAAAAACACGAUUGAUCCUAUCGGAAAUGUGUUCGACUAUAUUCUCAAUAAGCUCGUACUCAUAUCUAUUCAUGUCCAAUAGAUAAGUUAGUAAAAUCACAUCCAUGUAUUGACAAUAUAUUAUACAAUUCUAACUGUUUUGAAACAUAUACUUGUUUAAAAACAUAAAUAAAAAACAUGCUUCCUUUUUAAGCUUUAAGAUGAGAUUAAUGGGGAAAAGAAAUUAAAGAAAAGAAAAUAUAAAAAGGAAAAAUAAUAUUAAGUAAAGUGGGGUACCCUUGACUAAAAUGGUGGCCGGAGAAGUUAGCAGCUUGGGUAAGAGCCAUCUUCCAUUUCUUCAACCUCUCCAUGUUUUCCUUGUUAUUUUGGAACUUAUCUUCAUGCUUAGUAAGAUGCUCACCAUAACUCCCAGUCUGAUGUCGUACGUGAGUAGGAUCCGCACCAUAGAAAACAGGCAAAACCGAACAACCCCUUGUCUUGUAGCAGUGAAUGAUGUGGACAAGUUCGUCCAAGCAAAAUGAAGAAGAUGCAUAGUUUGCAGAAAAUAUGGGAAUCAAAAUCCUAGACUCUUCAAUGGCCUUGACAAGUGAUGGUGUGCUUUCAUCUCCUCUUUCAAGAUCGUUGUCAUCAAUGAAGGUUUUGAUUCCCUUGUCAAUAAGAGCCUUGUAGAGAUUGCCGGUAAAACCGUAAAGAGUGUCAAUGUCCCUAAAACUGAGGAACACAUGGUAUUUGAACCCAGAGGAAAUUGAAGAGGAAGAGGAAAGUGAUUGCAUAGCCAUGAGAAUUGAGAGAAAUAAGAUGAAAAAAAAGUUUGAGAAUAUGAAUGAGUAAGUUUUUGUGGUCUGUGAUGUGGAGUCUUUAAUAUGGAUCUAUAUAACAAGGAGAAAACUUGUGACAAAAAUGAUUUGUGAAACUUCUUGGCCACUUCCUAUAGCCGUGUGGACCAAUCACUAUAUGGACCUACCACCUCUUCUUGCUAAUUUCCUCAAUAUGAUUACUGUUCAAUUUUUGGACACAACUUAAAUAAAUAAACAAGUGAAAAGCCAAAUAAUAUUUCACUAUUAUUUUUUUCUUUGUUUCUGCCUAAUGCUACAAUAUACGGUUUUCAAUUUUUUUAUUUGGACACAUGAUUUCCAAUAUUGUAUUUUGACAUUGUAUACCAUUGAGAGUGAUGUUGGUUGGAGUGAGCACGACCACCCGAGAAGAGAAAAAAACUAUUUAAGACUAUGAAACCAAUAAGUAUAGCGUGUGUCUAGAUCUACGUUAAAAAAAAUUCUACAAGACAUUUUACAAGUUUUAUUUUUCAACCGAUUUUAUUCUUGUGUGUGAUUUUAUUCUUGUGUGUGAUUUUCAGUUUGUAAGUUAAUUAAUCAGUCCUAAAUAACAUGAAAUAAAAAUAAAUGCAGCCUAUGCUAUUCUAACAUCUAAUAAGACAGUUACAAAAUUAAAUCUGUUACUUAAUUACUCCUUUUUCAUUUUUGUUAUGUUAACUAUUACAAAUAGAUAUAUACAUAUAUAUGGUUGAAAGUAAGUAACAGAAGAAAUUUGAUGAAGACUAGUUCUACCUAAUAAUUUUGCUUAUUACAGAGUCAAAUUUUUUCUUUAAAAAUGGAUUUACAUGUCAUUGGUGAUCAACUAUGUCUUCAAAAUAUGACCUGUUUAACUAAAUGAUUAAUUAACCAUGCACACACAAUUAUUAGUGUAGGUUGUUAUGUUGAAUGCUUAAUUAGCCAUACAACUGUAACAUAGAAAAUUUAUAUAUAUUUCAUUCCAAAUAUGACAAGGCUUUGGAAAAAUGACUUUAAAUUUAAAUUUUCAAUUGAAGAUGAGAUGGAGAAGCUAAUUUUAUGUAAAAGAUUCUUCUAACUGAAUUAACAAUCACAUUUCAAAGUCAGAAAUAUGCUACCCUUCCCAAAGGAAUAUAUAUAUAUAUAUAUAUAUAUAUUACAUAUAUUCAAAAGUUUUGAUAGUAUUUCCGUCUUAAACUAACUAGUUAGUUAAAAACAAGAUUAGGGUAACAUAGAUAUGAAAUAUUCUUUCCUUCAUUUAUUUUCUCAAGUUUUGGCUACCAAGUCAACACUUUUACUACCGCAUGUUGAGUCUGAAACUUUCUUCUCAUCUUCCAUGUGGACAAAUGUGGGACACUUCCUUUGAAUUUCUACAUCUGUACGUGUGGACCAUUCAGCAAUAGCACCACUCAAAGACCAACCUUCAAAGUCAUUAUCCUUAACCUGUUUCCAUCAAUGAAGGAUAUGGAUAGGUGGAAGAAUAGUAAUACUUGUGUAAACUAAUGCGUGCCUUAAAAAUUAAACUAUGAAUUGCGAGCUGUGAUAUUUUGUUUAGACCUCAAAAGUCAAAAGUCUUUCUGAUAGUUAUUGUGUGUGUCAAGACAAAUACAAUCUCAUCUAUUGAACUGACAUUUUCUGCUCUUAUUCUAAGUCUAUACAAGAACUUGAUAUUUAUAUUUGAAAUUUGAUUCACCUCUUGUAAAUUCCUCCUCAUAAAAUUUUAAAGAUAAAUAAUUAGUGUUGGCACCCAAUUUAAAAAUGAAUAAAACUAAAGAAUACAACAAAUAUAAAAGUAUAAACUAUUAACGGAGGGGGGACACGGUUCUUUACUCCCAAAGAUUGUUUCAACAUCAUUUAAUAUAAUCAGAGAAUCAAUUAUCCUUUAACAACAAAAGCUAGCAACAACAACUUCAUGAUAUUUUUUUAUUAUUUCCAUUAUCCAAGGAAACAAAAGUUUACAAACGCGUCGACAUUCAAAUACAUUAUUCAAGGAUAUGGCCUCCAUAGCAAUUAUGAGCAUGGUUGUAAAUUUAAUCAAAUAAAAACACAAAUUGCAAUUAUAUUUUAUACUGCAUAGGUCAUGACUCUGGCAAAACGAUCUCAUGAAUGUUGGCUCUCAGAUUCAGUUCUUUAUCCCAUAUUACUAUAGAAAUAUAGAAAGAAAUUGUAUAAUGUUGAUAAUUACAAAUUUUGAAUAGUAGAAGUAAUGCUAGUUAUAGCAAAACCCACUAACUAUUGGUACAAGAUAUACUAACACACAGUUUUUAUUUAUAUGACCAAGCCUUUGCAUAUUUCUUCAUAUUAUCCGAUGUGGGACAUUAUUCUAAUUAUUAUUAUUGAAAUCCUCCCGCAAUUGUAUGGUUUGAGAGAGAGAUGCAACUUGGACAGUAAGUACUCGAACCUAGGAUGAAGCAGGGGUUUGGUUAGAAUAUCAGCAAGUUGAUCAUCGAUAGAAACAAAGGAUACUCGAAACUUGCCAUUUCGAACAUUUUCUCGGAAAAAAUGAUAGGCUAAGGCUAUAUGUUUCAUCCGAGAGUGAAAUACAGAAUUAGCACUAAGGUGGGUACGUAGCACCGAGGUUGUCACAAUAGAUGACUGGAUUGGAUGGUGGAGUGUGGCCUGAAGGUGAAAAACACAAGAAGGGGGGGGGGUUGAAUUGUGUUUUCUUUUUCUCUUAAAAAAGGAUUCUUCUUCUGAUAAAACUUCAGAAGCAGUUUGAUUGCUUCUGAUGAAAUGAUCAGAGUCAGAUUGCAGCGGAAAAGAACAGAGCAGAGAAAAGAAAGACAAAGACACAGGCAGUUAUCCUGGUUCCUUCCACAACACGGAAGUAGUCCAGUCCCCCUUGCACUUCCAAGGAGAUUUCACUAUAAUCACAAGAUUACAACUGCUCAAUACUUUCAAAGUAUGAGACUUCACAAAACAAUGCUCAAGCACACACGCAAGAGUCUUCCAAUGCUCAAGCACUAAGCAAGAGACUUCUAAUGCUCAAGCACGCAGGCAAGAGACUUCUAAUCAAACAAAAAUACAGAGAAUUGAGUUUGAAUUGAACACUUGAUAUACAAUCAGUGGUGUUCACAAUACAAUACAGAAAAGACUCUAGACUUUGAAUUUCUAAGAUGUAUCAAAUCAGUGCAGAAAUUCAGUGUGCUUUGUAGAAUCAAAUUGACAGAGUUUUGGCGCUUUUGAACUUAUGUAUCUCUAUCUAAAAUCUUCAAGUCUUCAUUCCUUUAUAUAGAGGCGUGAAAGAGACGUUGAGAUAAUCAGCACGUCUAAAGAGUCGUUUGAAAUCCUUUGAUUAUCCACCAGUGAUCCUUUGCCUGAUUUGGGUGUAGUCCUUUGAAGGAUAAACUUCAAAUUCAUUCCCAUCUUGAGUGUACAAAUUCUGCAGGCAUGGCUGUUGUUUUGUCUUGUAGCGUAGACAGAAAACAGAGUAGUGGAGGUAGUGGUUGUACACUUGUACUUUGUCAACUCUAUUAAUGAGAGACAAGUGCUCAGUGCUAUCCAUAUAUCCGUUGAUACCUCCCUUUCAAUUCUUCAUUCUUCUUUGAUAAGACUGAAUUGAGAAUCAGCAACUUUGAAUCUUCAGUUUGACUAAAGGAUCAAAUGUAGCUUCUGGUGAAAAUAUUGCUUCUGAUGAAAACUUUUGCUUCUGAUGACUUUCUGCUUCUGAUGACGUCAUCUCUUCAGGAGCAGUUUAGCUUCAGGAGCAGUUUUCUUCAGAUGCUCAGAAUUUCUUUUUCUUUCCAUUGUUCUUCCAAGACCUAUUGAAAUAACUUGAGUAGCCUUUGGUCCUGUACACUUGAACAAUUAUUAGUAAUAACCAAUUGACAAUUUUUAAUACCUUGUUAUCAUCAAAACUUAAUAAGGUUCAUUGUGAAACACAUUUUGUUCCAACAAUCUCCCCCUUUUUGAUGAUGACAAACAAUAGUAUUUAAAAUGUUCAAUUGUUGUUGAUCUAAUUAAUAAGUUGACUACUGGGACAGAGGUUUGUAAGCUCCCCCUGAGUCUAAUAGUUCUUUAAGGUGAGGUUUGUAAGCUCCCCCUAAGUUCUAUUCUUAUUAAUUAAAUUUCAAUAAAAUACUCAUAAAAAUCAAAUCAGAGGUAUUUAAAAGAAGUUUAGAAGUUGUUAUAGUAGGGCUCAGUGCCUUAAAAAUACUCAUAAAAAUCAAAUCAGAGGUAUUUAAAAGAAGUUUAGAAGUUGUUAUAGUAGGGCUCAGUGCCUUAAAAAUACUAUACAUUUACUCCCCCUUUUGUCAUCAACAAAAAGAAUAGAAACAAAAGAAAGAGUAUCAGAGCAAGCAGCAUUAAACAGUAAAUAUCAUCAGAGUCAAAGCUUGUAAAACAUAUUGAAGGUGAAAAAGCACAAGAUCCAGAAACAAUGAUAAUAUAUAUAAAGAAGAUUAAGAUACAAGGACACAGCUACGAAGAACAAAAGUAAAAAACAAGCUAGAGUUGGGUGUGCAACUAAGGUUGGGCUUGCUUAUACAACUGUUCUAAGAGAUACUUGAUCUGAUCAUCCUUCUUCUGAAGUAGCUCAUCCUUUUCCCUCAUUCUUCUUUUAUAUCCAGCCUGAAUUCUAGCAGCCCUAGUGAUGUACUCUUCUUCUGGAUAGAAAGGAGUGAUGUCCAGCAGAGGCUCAAAAUUCAGCUCUUUCUCCUUAGCUGCUUCAUGCAUAUCAUCCAAAAGCUUCUUCAGCAUAGCAGAGUGAGAUGACACACAUUUAGUUCUAAGCUGAUCCAGCAGCUCAUCAAAGCUCUUCUGUAGAUCCAUCCACUGAUCAUAAUAGUGAAUAGGAGGUGCAGGAACUGUUCUGCGAAGAAUCAGUGCCUGAAUCUCAUCACUAAGUCUGAUCAGUUGUUCCUCUAUAUACUCAGACUCCAGGAUAUGGUCAGGGAUGGGUGAAGGUUCAGUUUGAGUUGUAUUUGAUAUGGAAGGUUGGUCAGAGGUUAAGUCUAUUAUAGUGGGUGAAUCUGGUUGUUGUUGUUGUUCUGUUGUUUGGUCAGAAGGUAUAUGUUGGUCAGAAGUUGUUUGGUCAGGAGCAACUUGUUCAGAGGCAGUUUGCUCCUGAACAGUUUGCUCAGGGAUGGUUUGGGUUACUGUUUGGGUUUCCAAGACAGUCUUUUCAGGAACUGUCUUAGAGGCCUUAGUGGGUGUUGGUUGCAUUUCACCACCUAGAUGUUUUUCUAAGUUGUGAAGGGUUGAGUAUUCUUGGUGUUGGGGGGUUUCUGAAGUAGUUGCAUCUGAAGCUACUUCAGAGGCUUUUUGUGUGGUUGAGUUAUGUGGUGAGUUUGUUGUAGGUUCUGGGUUGGGUUGAGGUUGUUGUACACUAACAGGUUCAGGAUUAUCUGGAUAGAGUGGAUGAGUAGGAGGCAAAUUGAAUUUCUCACAAAGUUUAAUUCUAUUCUUAGAAAAUUCUAUUUGAGUUUGCUCCCAGUCAAGUGUUCCUAAAUCUGUUAGUUUGGUAGGUUUGGUUUUUAGAAGCUUGUCUAUGUGUUGGCUAAGGGGUUGGUCAUCUGAUUCUGUUGAUGAUGAAGAGGGUGAAGAGGGUAGAGAUGGAAUCUGAGUAUUAGUUGGAGCGUUAGAUGGAUUACCUGAAGACUGAGCUUCUGGAUGAACUGCUUCUGGAGCUUCUGAAGCUGGUUCUGAUGAAGUUGCUCCUGAAGCUUGCUUAUUCUUCAAGGCUUGAGAAAGCAGAGUUGCUCCAUACUUAACAGUUUCUAACUCCGAUGCUAAAGCAGCAAUGUCAGGAGUAGGCACAUACCCUGCAGCCUUGAGACGUUCAUCCCUUUCUUGUUCAUACAAAAUCUUCAUCCUUUUCUUUUCUGCUAUCUUGGAUGCAGCAACCUCCCUAGUAUACUGCUCCAUUUCUUCAGUCAUUUCGAAACUGGGCAUGACUAUGGGCUCAGAAGUUGCAGUCCUUUUUGCUUUCUUAGGGCUUGAGUCUUCAUCCCAGUUCUCUUCCAGUUCUUCCAACAUUUGUGCCCUUCUUCCUUCACUUGUCUUCAGAUUUCUUGUUAAAUUAGACCUUUUCCUUUUGAUGGUCUGAAGAGCAGCUUCUCUUUUAUUUUUGGGACUUGGAGGCUUUUCAGAAGCAGCUUGAUCAGAAGCAGCUUGUUCUGAACCAGCUUGUUCAGAAGCAGGCUGUUCUGCUGUUUCUUGAGUACUCCUUGUCCUUUUUCUGAUAAGAGGGACAUCUUCCAAAUUCUCCACUUCCUCAAGAAUGGUGGACAUAGCAGAUUUUACCUUUUUAGCUUUCUUAUGCUUCUGAGCACCCACCUCAGUAGCAUUUUCAGCAAGGUAUUCUUCCUUGGUGAUCUGCUUCUUCUUAGAUUUUCUGCUUUUGGCCACAGGCAGCUCACCACCAUACAUUUGGUCAGGAACAUCCUUCAAGCUGAUUUUCUGGUUAAAGGAUUUGUAGUGAUCCAUGAUAUAUGCCCUUUGAACCUCCAAGGGAUCUUGUUUACAGAUGGGAGGAAAGUCUGGGAUAAGAUCUGAUUUGGCAUCAGAAGGUUUCAAGUCAGUAGGACUCUUCUUCACAUCUUUUGCUUUAAUCAGAUGCAUAGCCCUUAGAGUCUCACCAUUGAUAAUCUUCCCUCUAACAGUUCCCAACUGUUCAUCUGUGAAGAUCUGAGCUUCUUUCAGCAUCUCAAUAAUUCCUCCCUGAUGGAAAAUCUCAGAGAGUAGUCUUCCAUAGGGUACCCAAGACCUUUUAUUCAGUUGACUCUCUCUGAGUUGAUGAACCAUAUGUCUGAAUAUGUAUCUGGGAAUAUUUGCCUCUACACCCUUUAUGACAAAGUGUAAGAGGAUUUUAUGUUCCAGAGAGGGCUGAUCACCACCACCACCUUUUGGUAGUAGGUUUUCGUUCUGAAUCUUCAACAUAACCUUUGUCUUGGUGUUCAUGUCAGAAUAGGCAAAGUCCUUUACCUUGUUGUAGAGAGUUUUGUUAACAAUAGCAUUCCAGGGGCUGUCCUUUGGCUUUGAAAUCCCAGCCUCAUGUUCUCCUUCUGCUGGUCUUCUGAUGACAAAGGCAAUAGUGUCCUCAGUGAUCCAGACACGGAUUCCCAUGAUGCUUGAUCUUAUCUGGGUUUUGGAGAAAGUUUCCAAGCCCAUUUCCGCUCUAGACUUCCCUUUGAGUUCAGGAUUGAGAAGAACUUUUUCAUCUUCUUCAAUCUUGGCGGCUUCCCUGUCGUAGAUGCUGGCUCUAACCCAGAAAUGACGAACCAGUGUUUGAUAAGUUGGUCCAUUUAGAAGAUUGAAGUACCUUCCCAGACCUUGUUUCUCGUAGUACUUGCCAAUGUCACAGUCGUGAGCGGCCAAAGAAUCAAAAUCCACCGGACUUUCUGAUUGAAUGUUUAAUUCCCAUUCCUCCAAGGACAUAGUUCUUCCUUUGAUUUCAUAAGCAGGAGUAUCUAUAUCCAUAUUCGAUGAAGAACCACCGGCAGAACUUGAAGAUGCCAUUGAUAUGAAGUGGUUUUAGGGUUCUAAAGAGUUUUUGAGAGGAUGAGAGAAUGUGCUUACUUACACAGAGGGUUGAGAAGAAAUUAGAAAGUGUUUGUUGUGAAGUGAGAAGUGUGUGAAAUGACUUAGUGUUUUUUAUUAAAACGUUUGUAAUUCAGAAGGGACAAACAAACACAGCAUUAAUGACAAAUUGGGGGCGCGUGUAAGUAUGUUAAAAAGCGAAUAAAAACAUCAUUGCCCUUUUUGUUAUACUCCAAUACAAAUAGACCACGUCAGAGACUCUUCAGAAAACUACCUUUUGGGUAAUGGGACAGCUGUUACAUAAAGUAACUGCCAGCGUUCCCACUAACCAAGCUAUUCAGAAGCAAAGAAUAACACUUCUGAAGUUUUAGUGCUGACGUCAUCUUCAGAAGCACAUUUUCCUCAGAACCUCAGUUUAAGAGCUUCUGAUGAACCAAAAAUGCUCCUGAAUAAACUUCAGAACCAAACUUCUUAUUCAGAGGCAAGCCAUUUUUCAAUCAGACACAAAAUGCAUGUUCAAAUUUUUCUUAAUAAAAUCAAAUCUUUCAACAGACAAAGGUUUUGCAAAUAUAUCAGCCCAUUGAUGUUCAGUAUCAAUGAAUUGUAUAUCUAAAAUUCCUUUUUGAACAUAGUCUCUGAUAAAAUGGUGUUUGAUUUCAAUAUGCUUGGCUCUUGAAUGUAGAAUUGGAUUCUUUGACAAACAAAUAGCAGCAGUAUUAUCACAAUAAAUGGGAAUACUGUUAGCAUUGAUCUGAUAGUCUUCCAACUGAUGUUUCAUCCAAAGUAGUUGUGUGCAACAACUUGCAGCUGAAAUGUACUCUGCUUCUGCUGUAGACAUAGCAAUAGUUGCUUGUCUUUUGCUUGCCCAGGAUAUCAGAUUCUCUCCCAGGAAUUGACAAUUUCCACUGGUUGAUUUUCUUUCAAUCCUAUCACCAGCAUAAUCAGCAUCACAGAAUCCAAUCAACUUAUAAUCUAGGGAUUUCCUAUACAGGAGUCCAAGAUUAGUUGUUCCUUUCAGAUACCUGAAGAUUCUCUUAACUGCAGUUAAAUGAGAUUCUCUAGGAUCUGAUUGAAAUCUUGCACACAAGCAUACACUGAAUAAAAUAUCAGGUCUAGAUGCAGUGAGGUAUAACAGAGAACCAAUCAUACCUCUGUAUAGCUUCUGGUCUACUACUGUUCCAGUAUCUUCUUUGCUUAAGGUGCAGGUUGGAUGCAUUGGAGUGUUCAUCACUUUACAAUCUUCUAGCUUGAACUUCUUCAGAAGCUCCUUUGUAUAUUUUGUUUGAUGAACAUAUACUCCUUCUUUACUUUGGUUGAUUUGAAUUCCCAGAAAGAAUUUCAAUUCUCCCAUCAUACUCAUUUCAAAUUCAUCCUGCAUUAACUUAGAAAAUUCUUUGCAAAGAGAUGCAUUAGUAGAACCAAAUAUUAUAUCAUCAACAUAUAUUUGCACAAUCAAAAUAUCUUUCUUAAGAGUCCUUCUGAAGAGUGUUGUGUCAACUUGUCCUCUUUCAAAAUCAUUUUUAAUUAAGAAAUUACUUAGUCUAUCAUACCAAGCUCUGGGAGCUUGUUUCAAGCCAUAUAGUGAUUUCUUAAGUUUAUAAACAUGGUCAGGAUGCUUAAGAUCCUCAAACCCAGGAGGUUGUUUAACAUACACUUCUUCUUCAAUGACACCAUUAAGAAAAGCACUUUUGACAUCCAUUUGAUAUAAUAUUAUGCCAUGAUUAAUUGCGUAGGAUAGAAGUAACCUGAUUGCUUCCAAUCUUGCAACUGGAGCAAAUGUUUCAGUGUAAUCAAUGCCUUCUUGUUGACUGUAGCCUUGAGCAACAAGUCUGGCUUUGUUUCUGGUUACUUCUCCUUGUUCAUUCAGCUUGUUUCUGAAUACCCAUUUUGUUCCAAUAAUGUUCUUCUGAGAAGGUUUGGGUACCAGAUCCCACACAUCAUUCCUUUGGAAUUGAUUUAGCUCUUCUUGCAUAGCUAAUAUCCAUCCGUCAUCUGAGAGAGCUUCUUCAACAGUUUUAGGCUCAAUUAUUGAAAGCAGUCCUAUUAGAGACUCUUCUUGUCUAAAAUGUGAUCUUGUUCUUCUAGGACUAUCUUUGCUUCCAAUGAUUAACUCCUCAGGAUGUGAAGAUUUGUGCUUGAAUUUAGGUUGAAUAACCUGCUGAGUGUUAUCUUGAAAGUCCUCAGAAGCACUUUCAUUCUGUACUUUUGGGCUAGGUUCUGCUUCUGAAUUAGACUCAGCUUCUGGAGUGAUUUCAGCUUCUGGACAAGAUUCAACUUCUGUAUACUUUUCAGAAUCAGAAGGUUGAUCAGAUUCUGAUGCAUCUUCAGAAUCAGUUGUACCUGCAUUACUUUCACUUUGCUCUGAAGUUUUACUUCCAGGCUCUCUAUCAUCAAAUUUUACAUGCAUAGAUUCUUCAACACAUUGUGUUUCUGAAUUAUACACUCUGUAUGCCUUUGACCUUUCAGAGUAACCUAAAAAGAUUCCUCUUUGAGCCUUGGCAUCAAAUUUCUUCAGAUAGUCUUUAGUGUUUAAGAUGUAACAAGUACAUCCAAACUGAUGAAAGUAAGAGAUAUUGGGUCUUCUUCCUUUAAAGAGUUCAUAUGUUGUUUUCUCCAACAUAGGUCUGAUAUAGAUCCUAUUUUGAAUAUAACAUGAAGUAUUGACUGCUUCUGCCCAAAAAUGUUUAGCUAAGUUGUUUUCAUGGAUCAUGGUUCUGGCCAUUUCUUGUAAGGUUCUGUUCUUUCUUUCUACAACCCCAUUUUGUUGUGGAGUUCUAGGAGAAGAAAACUCAUGGAGAAUCCCAUGUUUUUCACAAAAAAGUUCAAAUGGCUCAUUUUCAAAUUCUCCACCAUGAUCACUUCUGACUUUCAAAAUUUUCAAUUCUUUUUCAGAUUGUAUUUGAGUGCAGAAGCUGCUAAACACUUCACAUGCAUAGUCUUUACUUUUAAUGAAUUUUACCCAAGUCCAUCUGCUGUAAUCAUCAACAAUGACUAAUCCGUAUUUACUUCCAUAUAAAGAUGCAGUGUUAACUGGACCAAAAAGAUCAAUAUGGAGUAAUUCUAAGGGUCUGGAGGUUGAUAUAAUGUCCUUAGAUUUGAAAGAACUUUUCACAAUUUUCCCUUUCUGACAUGCACCACAAAGUGCAUCUGAAUGAUAAUCAAUGUUAGGCAAUCCUUUGACCAGUUGUAACUUGCUAAUUUUAGAAAUUAAUCUCCAAUUAGCAUGUCCCAACCUUUUAUGCCAUACCCAUUUUUUAUCAUUCAUUGACAGAAGGCAAACUACCUUCUGAUCAGCCAGAUCAGAGAAAUUUAUUUUAUAAACAUUCUCAACUCUCUUUCCCUUGAAUGUAAUGGAUUUGUCAUCCUUGUUGACUAGUGUGCAGUUGGUCUUACUGAACGUUACAUCAUACCCAUUGUCACAAAAUUGACUAAUGCUCAAUAGGUUAUGCUUCAGACCAUCUACUAGCCACACAUUAUUAAUUGAGAUGGAGGAAUUACCAAUAGUACCUGUACCAAUGAUCUUUCCAGUUUGGUUGCCACCAAACUUCACUUCUCCUCCAUCUUUCAUUGUAAGGGUAAGGAACAAAGCUUUCUCUCCAGUCAUGUGCCUUGAACAUCCGCUGUCUAGGUACCAUGACCUUUGUUUCUCUCUUGCCCUUAAGCACACCUGCAUUUUUGGCCAAUUCAGAUUUAGGUACCCAUAUCUUCAUGGGUCCUUUUGGGUUAGUUUUGGAGGUUUUACUUUUCCUCCCUUGCACCUUAGGGUGAAUGCUGAGUGGCUUCUGAUCAUUCAAUACUUUGGGUUUGACACCUUUUGGUAUUGUUUUCUCAGAAGCAGUAGCUGCUUUGUUCUUCUGAUCCUUUUGUUUUGGAAUUUUAGAUUCUGGUUUAAUCAGAUUCUGAUGAACAGGUUCUGAUCUUUUCAGAAUUUUAAUCUUUUGACUCUUAGGAUCAGAUUUUGUCAUUACCUUGAUCUUAAGAUUCUCUGGCUUUGAUGUGAUCUUAGCCUGUGAACCUGAAGCUUCAGGUUUUGACUGAACAGCAGUUAUAGCAUUUGUACCUUCAGGCACAAAGGUGGAUUUCAAUCCAUCCUUGAUACAAUCACAGUAGCUCUUGAGACUGUAUUCUUUGGAUUUCUCCUCAGAAUAUCCAAUCCCUUUGCCUUUGUUCUUGUAUGUGCUGUAGAUCAUAGAAGCAACUUUGCUUCUGUCUAUUCCAGCCAUAAUAAAAUCAUCCAAGGCAAUCUCAUGUUUAUUGCCUGAACCUUUAUCACAUUUUUCUUGUAGCUUCUGACAAAGACUCUUGAGUCUAUCUUCAUAUGUUGUUGAUAUGAGGUUAAACCCUUUGAGUUCUUCUUCAGAAGCUUUCAGUUCCAAUAGAGUUGAUUUUUGUUGUUUCAUCAAAUCAACAUAUUUUUCUUUUAAAUCUGUCAACUCAUUGGUUCUGUGUUCAAACAGUGAUAAAAGUUCUUUUAGAGAAUCAACAAGUUCUUGUCUAGGGAUUUUGGAAUAUACCUCAUUUUCAUCUUCUGAAUCUGAUUCAGCUUCUGAUACUGCUUCUGAUGAUACUGUUGCCACUAAUCCAACGGCUGCCUUAGCAUCAUCAUCAGCUUCUUCUUUAUCAGAACCAGAUUCACUAUCCAAAUCUUCCCAGGUCGCCAUCAAGCUCUUUUUGAUUUGCUUUCUGAAUUUACUGGAGUUGAAGCUUGAUUUCUUGGAUUUGCCUUUAAACUUCUCCUUCUGAAGAUCAGGGCAAUCAGCAAUGAAAUGACCAGGCUUCUUACAAUUGAAGCAUCCCUUCUGAUCUUCUUUCUUGAAGUUCUUGUAGCUACCUCUCUUGCUCAAAAAUUUCUUCUGCUUCCUUGCCAGAUACUCAAGCUUGUUGGACAGCAUAGCCAUCUUUACAGAUUGAUCUUCAUCAGAAUCUCCAUCAGGUGAUUCUUCUUCAGAUUCACUGGCUUUGUAGGCUUUGGAAGACUUUGAGGUCUUUCCUUUAGAUGGUAAAGCAAUGGAUUUACUCUUCUUAGAGGUUUCAUGCUCAUUUAAACUCAUUUCAUGCACUUUGAGUGAGCUAACAAGAUCUUCAACACUUAAAGUAUUUAGAUCCUUAGCUUCCUCAAUAGCAGUUACUUUGGGUCUCCAUCUUGAAGGUAAGCUUCUCAAAAUCUUACUAACAUGAUCAGAAGCAACAUAGCUUUUCUUCAGUAUCUGCAAUCCAGAAACUAAAGUUUGAAAUCUUGAGUACAUUUCUUCUAUACUCUCAUCAUCCUUCAUUCUGAAAAGUUCAUACUGAUGAACUAGCAUCAAAGCUUUAGCCUCUUUCACCUUCUUGCUGCCUUCAAAGUUGGCACAUAGUGACGCAAACAUAGCCUUCGCAGUAGAUUUGUCACUCAUCUUCAUGUAUUCAGUGCGAGGUAUAGAAGCCACAAUAAUCCCUCUGAUUUUGUGGUGCUUCUUGUAAAGCUUCUUCUGAGCAGGAGUAUGUAUUUUUCUAUCUAUAGCAGCUCCUUCUUCAUCUAAAUCCAGGUCAUCAACUCCAUCUUCCAGUAUGUCCCAUAACUCUUCAUCUAAUCCCAUGAUAAAGCUGUACAUAUUAGUUUUCCACCAAGAAAACUCUUCUGGAUCUCCAUUAAACCUUGGAGCUUUUCCAGAGUCUGUUUUCUUGUCAGCAGUAUCAUAGUCAUGCUUGACGCUUGUGUAUUUUGGAGUAACUGAUUCCUCAUCUCCAGACAUGUUUUUCUAAUAGAUCUUGAACUGUAACACGGUUAAGUGCUGUGAUAACAGAGCAGGCUCUGAUACCAAUUGAAGGUGAAAAACACAAGAAGGGGGGGGUUGAAUUGUGUUUUCUUUUUCUCUUAAAAAAGGAUUCUUCUUCUGAUAAAACUUCAGAAGCAGUUUGAUUGCUUCUGAUGAAAUGAUCAGAGUCAGAUUGCAGCGGAAAAGAACAGAGCAGAGAAAAGAAAGACAAAGACACAGGCAGUUAUCCUGGUUCCUUCCACAACACGGAAGUAGUCCAGUCCCCCUUGCACUUCCAAGGAGAUUUCACUAUAAUCACAAGAUUACAACUGCUCAAUACUUUCAAAGUAUGAGACUUCACAAAACAAUGCUCAAGCACACACGCAAGAGUCUUCCAAUGCUCAAGCACUAAGCAAGAGACUUCUAAUGCUCAAGCACGCAGGCAAGAGACUUCUAAUCAAACAAAAAUACAGAGAAUUGAGUUUGAAUUGAACACUUGAUAUACAAUCAGUGGUGUUCACAAUACAAUACAGAAAAGACUCUAGACUUUGAAUUUCUAAGAUGUAUCAAAUCAGUGCAGAAAUUCAGUGUGCUUUGUAGAAUCAAAUUGACAGAGUUUUGGCGCUUUUGAACUUAUGUAUCUCUAUCUAAAAUCUUCAAGUCUUCAUUCCUUUAUAUAGAGGCGUGAAAGAGACGUUGAGAUAAUCAGCACGUCUAAAGAGUCGUUUGAAAUCCUUUGAUUAUCCACCAGUGAUCCUUUGCCUGAUUUGGGUGUAGUCCUUUGAAGGAUAAACUUCAAAUUCAUUCCCAUCUUGAGUGUACAAAUUCUGCAGGCAUGGCUGUUGUUUUGUCUUGUAGCGUAGACAGAAAACAGAGUAGUGGAGGUAGUGGUUGUACACUUGUACUUUGUCAACUCUAUUAAUGAGAGACAAGUGCUCAGUGCUAUCCAUAUAUCCGUUGAUACCUCCCUUUCAAUUCUUCAUUCUUCUUUGAUAAGACUGAAUUGAGAAUCAGCAACUUUGAAUCUUCAGUUUGACUAAAGGAUCAAAUGUAGCUUCUGGUGAAAAUAUUGCUUCUGAUGAAAACUUUUGCUUCUGAUGACUUUCUGCUUCUGAUGACGUCAUCUCUUCAGGAGCAGUUUAGCUUCAGGAGCAGUUUUCUUCAGAUGCUCAGAAUUUCUUUUUCUUUCCAUUGUUCUUCCAAGACCUAUUGAAAUAACUUGAGUAGCCUUUGGUCCUGUACACUUGAACAAUUAUUAGUAAUAACCAAUUGACAAUUUUUAAUACCUUGUUAUCAUCAAAACUUAAUAAGGUUCAUUGUGAAACACAUUUUGUUCCAACAUGGCCAAAUUUAGUGAAUAGGGAAAGGACCCAUAACAGCUCACUCGCCGUGUCAGCCAAGGCUUUAUAUUCUGCUUCUGUAGAAGAGCGAGCAACAGAACAUUGUUUUAGAGAGCUCCAAGAGAUGGGCGUGCUGCCAAGAUAUAAUAGAUAACCAGUGGUCGCCUGCCCAGUCCGCAUCUGAGUAGGCAUGGAGAUUUAAUGGGUCGGUCGUCGAAAUGAAGACACCUUUGUCACAGGAACCCGCCAAAGUAUAGGAGCACUCUUUUGAGUGCAGUCCAAUACACCGUUCUGGAGUUUUGCAUGAAUUGGGCGAGUUUGUUUGUGUUGAAGGCAAUGUCUAGGAGAGUAAGGCUCAAGUGUUGGAGGCUUCCAACGAGCGCUCGAUACUCGGUUGGGGACGUACGGUAGGAGAUCGCCGGAAUCCUUGAGUAACUUAUUUGUGGCAGACAAUGGAGCGAAUGUUUGUUUUGUAUCUGCCAUGCCUGACUUAUGCAGUAGAUCAGUGAUAUAUUUCCUUUGGGAAAGGAAUAUGCCCGUAGUAGAGGGAAUAACUUCGACCCCCAAGAAAUAAUUAAGACAUCCAAGGUCUUUCAAAGAAAAACGAGCAGCAGGUGUGGCGAUGAGUGUUGAGACCUCUGCAGGAGAACUCCCAGUGACAAUGAUAUCAUCAACAUAUACUAAUAAGUAUGGUGUGUAACGCCCUCUUUAAUUAUUUGAUUAUUUUAAAUGAGUUUAGAAUAUACUUAUAUGAUUUGUAUGAUUUAUUUUGAUGAGUGAUAUUUUGUUAUGUUAUAUGUUGGUAUUUAUUAGUAUAAUAUAUAUGUUAUUUGAUUUAGAAAUAUGUAUAUGUUAUUUGAUUUAGAAAUAUAUAUAUGUUAUUUAGAAAUAUAUAUGUUAUUUGAUUUAGAAAUAUAUAUAUGUGAUUUAGAAAUAUGUAUAUGUUAUUUGAUUUAGAAAUAUAUAUAUAUAUAUGUUAUUUAGAAAUAUAUAUGUUAUUUGAUUUAGAAAUAUAUAUGUUAAUUGAUUUAGAAAUAUACAUGAUUUGUCAUAGAAAUAUACAUGAUCUGUUAUAGAAAUAUAUAUGAUUUAUGGUAGAAAUAUAUGUCAUUUGCUAUGGAAAUAUAAAUGAUUUGUUAUAGAAAUAUAUAUAAUUUGUUGUAGAAAAUAUAUGUUAUUUAGUAUGGAAAUAUAUAUAUGUUAUAGAGAUACAUUUGUUAUUUAUUAUUGUUAUAGAAAUAUUUUAUAAUAUAUAUAUAUAUAUAUAUUAGAAUAGAAUAUUAAGAUUGGGAUAUAAGAGAAAAAUAAGUAGGUUAAGGAUUUAUAUAAAUAGGAGAGACCUAGUUUAGAAAAAACAUAACGUACGACUGUUUUUGGAGAAAAGGGAGAAAAAGUCAAGAGAAGAGGGAGAAGACCUAGAGGCUGCGAUUUUUAUUCUUUAAGGUAAGGGUGAGACUAACUUUGCAAUUCUAUUAAGUAUGUGAAUCAAUUGUUAGGUUUAACAUGAUGUAGGAUGAGUUUUGAGGAAUUGAAAAGUAGGUUAAAAUUGUAGAAUUAAUGAAUAAACGGUGGAAACUUGUUAAAAAGAUGUAGAAACUGUUCUUAGACCUUAGAUAAUGAUUAAGAUGAAUUCUGGAAUUGAGAUUAAGCUUAAAACCAUGAGAGUUGAUGAUUUUUAGGCAAAACUGCACUUCUGCUUGUAGCGACAUUCAUCGCUCGCCUCCCGAGCUAUGAUCCUCGCCACGGCGAGUGAUGAACUUCAUCGCUCGCCACGCGAGCAACCUUUCCUCGCCUCGCGAGUUGCACGUUGCAGCUCGCCAUAGCGAGCAGUUGAACUCGCCUCGCGAGCUUGACCAGAGAGCAUGCAAGAUUUCGUGAUUUUGACUUUUGAGUUGAACCUUAGAUGUCUUUGAGUACCUUUAGGUGUCUACUAGAUAUUAGAGGAUUAAUUAGAACAAGAUUGAACCUGGAACAACCUUAGUUGGGAAUCUGGCUUGUACUCGCCAUGGCGAGCGGAUGCUCUCGCCUCGCGAGCACUUCCAGAAUUGAGUGCAUUUGAGGAUUUUGAGACCUGAGUUGCUUGGAUUGAUUAGGAGAGGAACCUUAGGUACUAAUGAGACCUAUUUAAGAUGUUAACUGAGAACUGUGAAGCUAUUGUGAAAUGUUAAGUGAUUAUAAUGUGAUAUAAUGUUUUAUGCAUUACCUAAGAAUUAUUUGAAUACUCAAGAUGUUGUUGAAUUGAAAUUGAUAAUAUUAUGUCAUGCUGUUUGUAUGCUGCCUAUGUUGCUGUUGUUGGUUAUGUGAAAUAUUUAUAUGCCUUAUGUGGAAAAUGUAUGAUGUUUAAGUUGUUGAUGCUUCACAUUAAUAUUGUUAUGUUGUGAAUUGCUUGUGCUGUUUCUGUUGCUGUUAUGAACUGCUAAGUUGUUUGUAAUGUGAUUUAAUGAUUAAAUGCAUUACUCUAAAUAUUAAUGAAUGAUCAAGAUGUUGUUGAAAUGAAUUGUUAUUAAGCUUGAUUGAUUAUGCUGCAAUUGUUAUUUAACUAAGUUGCAUGAGUAUGAAUAUGUUGAUGAUGAACUCCAAAUUAUUGGAUGUAUAAGUGAUAAGUUGAUUAAGGUGUCUUGUUGAUAGAGUCCAUGCAUUAGCAUUCAUUGAGCUUUGUCCUCACCAUGAUUAGGAGCUUUGUCCUCCGCACGAUAGGAGUUUUGUCCUCCGCACGAUUAAAGUAUAUUAAUACUUAUGAUGACGAUUGGUACCACAUGCAUAUAAGUGUCUAAGUUGCAUUGUCGCAUCUGUCGAGUCGAAGUCGUUGUUGAUGAAUUAUCAUCUAUGAGUUGUUAAGUGUACUUGAUGAUGUUUAUGUUAAGUUGAUAGGUUGUCUUUUAUUCAUGAAUUGAUAAUGAGAUGUUUGAUGAAUAAGUAUUAUUAUGAAUUGAUGAUGUUACGUAUAAUUGCUAAGUUGUCUUCUAUUAUGAGUUGCUAAUGAGAUGCUUGGUGGAGAAAUGUUAUUACGAAUUAAUGAUGUCGUUAUGUUGUAUAUGAAUUAUGAUUAUGAUGUGAUGAUCUACGUUGGUUAGGAUUUAGUUAUUAUGUGUUAUAUGAUGAUGUUUAUAAUGUGAUGAAUAUGAAGUAAAUGAUAAUUAGAAGUUGGUUGAGUUAUUAAGAAUUAUUACAUGAAAGAUUAUUAUUAUUAUUAAUAGAGGAAGUUAUUUGUGUUGUUAAAUAUAAUUAUUGAAUUAUAUGCUUGAUAUUAUUGUUUUGUGAAAUCUCACCCCUUCUGCUUGAAAAUGUUGCUCUUCGUAUGAGUAACUUGCAGGUGAUCGAGUUUAAGUUGCUGUUAGAUUACUGUUGUGAGUGGAUUAGCUCUCAUGUGUGUCUUUAGAUGCUCUGAUACGUAACGGGAUGGAAAUUUUAUUGUUGUCUUUCUAUUCCUUACGUAUUGUUUUUAAGAAGAUUUAUGACUAUGUUUUUAGAUUGGAUUAUAUGAGAUAAUUAUGAAGAGGCCUUCGUGCCAAAGACUAUUUUAGAUGUUGAAAUAAAUUCCGCUGCGAAGUAUUAAAGAUUUUGUUAUUGAAUUUUAAAGGAUAAAUAGUUAUUUAUUCAGUUUAUGACUUUAAGAAAAGAAUGUGACAUUCCGUUUUUGUGAAUACUCUGAUUAAUUAAAUGAAAUUUUUACAUUGGGAAAACGGGGUGUUGCAUGGUGGAACACCUGGUUUGUGGUGGAUGAAUAAAGAGGCAUCAGCAGUGGAGUUGACGAAGCCAAGGGAUAAAAGGAAUACUCGAAGCUCCGUAUACCAGGCACGAGGUGCUUGCCUUAAGCCGUAAAGUGCAUUUUUGAGACGACAAAUAUGAUCAGUGAAGUUUUUCUCGACAAAUCCAGGUGGUUGUAACAUGAAUACUUCCUCCUUGAGUGUACCUUGGAGGAACGCAUUGUUAACAUCAAGCUGGCGAAGGGACCAUCCUUGACGAACUGCAAGUGUAAGGAGAAUUCGAAUAGUCGCCGGUUUAACAACUGGACUGAAUGUUUUUGUGUAGUCACAACCAAGGCGUUGAUGAAAUCCUAUGGCGACUAGUCGUGCCUUGUUACGAUCAGUGGAGCCAUCCGGAUUUCGUUUGAUACGAAAAACCAAUUUACAUCCAACCAAAUUCUGAGCAAAGGACCGGCUAACAAGAUCCCAUGUGUUAUUGUUCUGUAAGGCAUCAAAUUCAUCUUGCAUAAUCGAGCGCCAAUCAUGGUCACGAAGGGCUUGAGUGAUAUUGCUUGGUUCGAUGGGACAUAAGGGGCGAACAUGAAGGUUAAGCUUUUUGAUGGUUUUAACAAUGUUGUUUUGAGAACGGGUGAUGAUCCCACCGACGUUGGUAGUGUGGUUGUUGUGUGGGCGAGCAGUGGGUGGGGGCGGUGGUGGAGGUGUUGGCGAUGUAGUGAUGUUGGCCAGUUCAUUGGAUGUUGGAGAUGCGGGCGAGGAUAUUUGAAUGUUUUGGGCGACCUCAUUGGAGUUUGGUGAAGAGGGCGAAGAUGUUUGAGUGGAUUCGGCGAGCUCGCUGGAUGUUUUUGAGGACGGCGACUGUUGUUGAGUGGUGUGAGCGAGGUCAUUGGGCAUUGGUGAUGAGGGCGCAGACGGGUGAGUGAUAUGGGCGAGAUCAUCUGACAUUACACCACUGACAUUUGCCGAGGAAGGGUUUGCGAUUUCCAGGGCGUUGAUUUGAUUGUGUGGGGAGCUUGGCAGGGCGCCGUUUGUUGUUGGGUCUUACCUGAGCAUUCAAGGCAGUGAAUGGGGCAGGGGGUUGUUGCUGAACAGCGGCGAUUGAUAGUUCCUGGAUGAGAAGCUUCUCAAGAAGGUCGUCAAAGGUAAUUAAGUUAUCCCUUGCAUUCACUCCGUCAUUGACAGAGCUAUAGCCGUCGUCGUGGCCAAGUGUUUAGUUUAAGAAACCCAUCCAACCAUAGCCAUUUUGACCUACAUUUACAUAAAUAAAUAAAAUGUUAAUAUUAAUAAAAAACUUACAAUAGCAACAAAAACUGAACACAUUUCAUUAUGAAAAUAGGAUAGAACAACUCUUCCCAUUCAGCAAAAAAAAAAAUAAUAAUAAAUACAUUUGUUCCUUCCUUGUAGCUAUGAAGCUUUGGGGACAGAUAAUUUAAAACGCAAGUCCUCACCAAGGGCACGCAUGGAUAGCACGAAAGGAAAUACGUCGAGCUGCAGAAAGCCAGGCGGCCACGGACUAUGUGGUUUGAGCCACUGCGAGACACGUCCUAUGACAAUGCAAAAAGCCAGACAACAAUCGAUGGAUUUCUGGUAAUGAACUGUAAAAGAAGAAAUGAAUGCUUAGGUCAUAGUUAGAGAAAAGUUCCAAAAAUAACUGACUGGACAGUCUGAAAUUCUCAUGCACACCAUUAUGCAGAAAACCAGAAACCUAACUUGCUACAAUUGUGAAAAGGAAACGUGCAUUCAAAAUGAGAAGAAAAAAAAAGAGAGGUUAAUUUCAUCAGAUAAAAGGACUUUCAAUCUAUGUAGUCAUAGAAUUUCAUUUCUAUUUUUGAUGUACUAAACUACAAUUUUGUUAUGAAACACAUAUAAGAUGAAGUUUUGAUCUAAUUUUACCUGCCGGAAAAAGGUACACAUUUACAUUAAUGGUCUUCAUACUACUUCUUUUCAUAAUACCUAAGAAAUGACAAGUUAUUGCUAUUUGAAAAUAUAUUAUUUUCGGAUAAUGAUCAACUUCUUUUUAAAAAGAUGUUUCGAAAAUAUUAUGAUUAUAAGAACUUAUGCUUUCAAAGUAUAAGGAUCUUACUUGUAACAGCAUUCAUCUAUAUGAUCCACCGCAAUUUAUUAGACGUCAGUUGAAAAGCUUCCAUCACCUUUUAAGAGUUCUGGACUGAAGGGAUAUAGCUGGAGGACGCGAGAGAUGGAUUCCCAAACUUUCAUCAGACCUGAUUGCUUUUGAUGCCUCUGAAGCAUCCUUAUGUACUAGUUGAACAAAAAUUCAAGUUGAUAGCUAUGGCUUCUCCAUUCUGCAAGUCACAAGCAUUCAAAUAGAUGUGAUAAGUAACACAAUAUACAGUUAUGCUGCAACAGAGAAGAUCGAUAUUGAUUACUCGACAAAUUUUUGUACUCCCUCUAAACUUGUCAUCAUUCUUUUUGUCUGAUUUUCAAUCACAAUAUCUCCCCACUUCAAACAAUAUGCAUUAUUAACUUUCAUGAAAUUCAUUUUACUUGUUGUUUCGUUUUUGACAUGCAGGUUUGUGACUAACCCAAGAUAAUACGUUAUCGUAGUAGCUAUUUGAUUGGUUGACUUAAGGAUUUGAUAUAAACGUCUACCACUCUGCAAUGCACUUGCGUUUCAUUUUUAACAUACAGGUUUAGGACAAUCUUAGAAAAUACUUCAUUCUUCUCUAUGUAGGACCGAGACAAAUACGUUCAUCGGACACGACACUGCCAUGCCGACACUACAUGUAUUAGUGUCCGACACCGAAUACGCUUUUGAAGUCAAGUCUUACAAGCUGUUUGUGUCUGAGACCUUAGGGUAGCUCCUAAGGACAACAAACUAAUAAAAGUAAAGGAAUGGAAAGAGAAAUGAAUCCCAGAUUGUCUUGAUUAAGCUUUUAUAUCCAAACAUGUAAAUUUGAACCACAUACAAACAAAUCAUUUUCAGGAAUUCCUUUUCAAGUGAAGUUGAACUCAUAUUUUCUUCUAAAGAAUUUUCAAAUGGUCAUUCAGAUAUAUAACAAACCUUCCAAUCGGCCAUAAUAUAUAAAUCCAAACAUAAAAAGGUUUCAGAAUAUAUACUAACAACUUAAUUUAAAAUGAAUGACUAAUAUAUAUUUAUCCAAACUUAUAAGGUUUCAAUAUUUUGCCAUUAAAACAACAAACCAUAUUAAUGCUUCUGUUAGAGGAAAUUUUGUUGACAGUCUGUAGCUUAAAACUGAAACAAUUCAAACUAAUUAGCGUUUUGUACUUUGCCGCAUAGCUAGACCCUGAUUUCUUGUUUUUGCAGCCAAACACAUGUUCAACUUACAACUAGACAUUAAAUUAUUGGGAAUAAUAUGGUAUGAACUUUAAUAUAUAUAAUACAGACAUUAAUCAAAUUGUGGAUAACAACUAAAGCAAAUUUACUGGUUGAAAAUGCAGCAAGGACAAACAAUACAUUGUGACUGUGCCCAAACGAUACUCAUGUGAUCACGAAAAGAACAGUGUUCAUCCAUUUCCUACUCUUAUUUCCUAUAUGCAAUGCAAUGGUGUCCAUAGAGGAAAAAGAGUGCUAUGGAUGUCACUCAAAUCCAACGCCAGAGACAAGAAGCUGAAAACCCUAAAAUUUUCUCUAUCAGUUGGUAGCCACAGAGGAGAAAAAUCAGCACUCAUCACCGCUGGGAUAAAAUAUGAUGAUGCAGAAACCAGGGAUAUUGAAGCUGAAGGUCGGGUGUUGUGAUGUUUCUGCCAUUGUGUCAGUGAGCAGAAAGGUGAACAUUUGACCGGGAUUGAAAGUUUGAGGGAUCGUGUCAAGGAAUGUCCAUAGGGAAUCCUCACAAUCGAGCCGGUUAGGAAGCCUAUCUUGUAAGAGUCUCCAACCAUACACAACUUUUUUUAGCACUGAUGUGAGCCAUAAUCUAUGCACUGCCUUCAAUAAUUCAUCGUCGAAAUCAUUGAAAAACGCAAAUUUCACAGCUCUUGAUAACAUCCUUUCUCUGAGAAUCUGCUGUACUCUCCGGCAACAAUUUAACAAAAUCUGAUACAGGUUCCUGCAGCUAUAAAUUUUCCACCAUUCUUUGCUCAUUCCCAUUCAGACUUCGCCACCAGCACCAGCGCCAAACCUGUAUAUUUUCCGCCUACAUCCGCUUUUGCGACAUGGUAUUGCAUCUGUCUGCAGCCAAUAUGUACAGUUCAGGAAAUAGAAACUGAUUGGUUGGUUACACUUCCACAAUUCAUUGCAAAGUAAUGUGGUUUUCACCAUUUCCUAUCGCACUUCUAAGAAGAGUUGCAAACCAGUUUGGUUCAAUGUCAAUAUCCCUUCCAAUUCUAUUGAGGGAUGCUUUAAUUACUUUUAUGGUAAAAUACACUCGUCAAAUAUGUGCUAAGGUUUUUGAAGUUGAUCAUAUGAAUAUUCAAUUAUAUCUUCUAAUAAUUUCUGUGAUUAUAUAUUGUAAUUACUUAGAAUAUGGAAAGUAUGGGUAGCAUGUGUAAAGCUGGCUGUUAUGGGUUUUUUUGGCUCAUGAAUUUGUUGGUGGUAUCUCAUUCUGUGUUGGUUUAGAGUUCUCUUCCUUUAGUUUUUGGUCCAAUGGGGGGUGAACUCUAGUGAUUUCACUAAUUAGUUUUUUAUCAGCUCCGGUUACUGGUUUUUGGCCUUGUGGGAGGUUCUUAGUUUUUUCUCAUUUUAAUGGGUUUUGGCUUACUCUCCCAUUCUGGAUGGUACAAUAAUUAUAUUUUAAAAGCUAUUAUGAUAUAAUAUAUACAAUACCUUUUUUAUGAGAAUAUUCAAAGUCUAGUUGUAAUUAAAAAUCAAACACUUUUAUUUAAGAAAUGUUAGUUCACAUCAUUGAAUAGAGAUUUGAGAUGAACCAUCUGUCAGAAUCAUACAUACAUUUGUUGUUGCUGCGACACAAGUUCUGUUGCAGAAAAAUGAUUUGGCAGAAAACUGCUUUUACACAAGAAUACCUUAUUAAUUACAAGAGCCAUACAGUGUUGUUUCUGCUACUCAAGUUCUGUCUCAAAAAACUUCUGAGUUCUGAUCUUCAUCUGCUUUAAUCUUUCUAUACGGAUUCAAGUUUGUGUACUAAGAUUGAAAUUCUCAAAACCAACGGAUUCUAUGCUGCGAGCAAUCUCUAGACAUGUCGCAUGACAAUGCAAAUAGCCAGAUGACUACAGAUGGUUUCCUGACAAUGUACAGACAAAGAACAAGUAAAUGCUUAGUUUUCGUUAGAGAAAAGUUGCCUGAGUUUCAAACAUAAUUUCUUUAUGUUUAUUUCAACAAGAGAGAAUCCACUCUUGAAAUUGUCAUACAAACCAUUAUGCAGAAAACAAAAAAUUCUGACAUGUUACGGUCAAAAUGAGAAAAUAAAAUGAAAUUCAGUUUAAAAUAUUAAUAAAUCAUAUGAAGGAAAUAUGAAUUCUUGAGAUACAUUAAGGAGUAGCAGAUCGAAGUAAAUUAAUUUUUCCUAUUGUAAGUACAAAACCAAAACUUAGAAUUAUAAAAAAGGCUUCUUUAUACCAUGAAGUACAUACAUUUAAAUAUUUCCUGAACAGAUUUUUUUAAUUUUUUUUUUUUUUGCAAUUUUUAAUCCCUUAAACUAUCUAUUUAACUGUGAUAUAAGAUGAAGUUUGUAUCUAAAUUGACCUGUUGGACAAAAGAUACACAUUUUUAUAACGGUCUUCAUACACCCUAAGAAAUGACAAGUCAUGCAUAUUUAUAAAGAUUAUAAUUAAAAGUAUUUAUGGUUUCAAAGUAUAAGGAUCUUACUUGUAACAACAUUCACAGAGGAUCCGCCGCAAUUUAUUGGAUGUGGUGCAAUUUAUUAGAUGUUUUUGUGGAUAUGUCCAACUUCCACCACAGCUUUUAAAAGUUCUGGACUGAAGGGAUAUAGGUGGAGGCCCUGAGAGAUGGAUUCCCGACCCCGAUCCGAAACAUUCAUCAGACCUGAUUGUUUCAGAUGCCUCUGAUAGCUCUGGAUUCAACUUUCCACUGGUCACAUGCAUUCAAAUAGAUUUGAUAAGUAACAUAAUAUACAGUUAUGCUCAACAGAUAAGAUCCAUAUUGAUUAUUUCGACAAAACUAAGCAUUUAGCUCACUGUAAACCUCGUGUGUGCUUAUAAGCUAGUGGAAUUUUUAUGAAUUAUGUAUCAUGUUUGAAUUGCAAUCACGUUAAAUUUCAUUCAUAAAAGUUAAAAAUCCAAAUAGCCUGAAAGCAUAUAACAUUAGUUAGGACUUCUUCAAGUUUAUGAAACGUAUAUGUUUACUAGCUAAUAGUAAAGCCACUUUCUUAAUCAACUAAAUGUAGAGCAAUAUUAAAAAACAUGUGUCGACACUGGUAGAAAUUGAAGAAAAUAACAUAUUUGAAUGUAGUCAGUGGUGUCGAUGUCGAACUUACAGACAUGUGUCGGACAUGUACACGUCUUCGUGAGAAGUGUAUGUGCUACAAAGCAUCCUCCACAGUAAGUUGAAGCAAUAUUUUAGAGUGAACAAACAUUAAUCAAGGAAUGUUGAGAUUGAGAGAAUAACAACAAAGCGGUUAACUUUAUGAUGAACCUAGACCAAGGAAUGUACCCAACAUCUUUGUAUUCUCUUCUUUCAUCAAUUCCUUUUGUUGCACCCACAUCUUUCUCUGAAAAUCCAUAAGGAUUGAAAAUUUGUUUUGUUUCCUUUUCUUUUCUGAUAAUGAUGCAUUGAGAUAGUCAGCUAAUUUUUUUCAUAACGGUCUUCAUACACCCUAAGAAAUAACAAGUCAUGCAUAUUAUGAUCAAAAGCAUAUUUAUAAAUAUAUUACUAUGAGAUGGCAAUCAAUUUCUUUUUCAAAUUAUCUUUUAUAAAUAUUAUGAUCAAAAGCAUUUAUGAUCAAAAUCUUCGAAGUAUAAGGGUCUUGCUUGUAACAACGUUAAUUCAUGAUCCGUCCCAAUUUAUAAGACCUUGUGUGAAAGUUUCCAGCUCCACUACACCUAUUAAAAGUUCUGGACCAAAGGGAUUCCAAACCUCAAAGUUCAUACCUCUGAAGCAUCCUUAUGUAAUGGCCAUGCAAAUAUUCAAGUUGAUAGCUGUGGAUUCUUAUUUCUGCAGGUCGCCUGCAUUCAAAUUUCAAACAGAUGUGAUAAGUAACACAAUAUAGAGUUAUGCUGCAACAUAUAAGAUCGAUAUUGAUUACUCGACAAGAUGAAUUUACAUAGCAUGCCAAAACUAAGCAUUUUGUGCACUGUCUGACUCCAGAAACGUCUUUAAUGAUUUGAAAAACUUGUGCAGGAAGAAACAAUUAUUUGGUUCAUGAUAAAGUUAAAUAUAUACCUUGACCAUGGAAUCUAUCUAUCAACGGUGUUCCUUUUCUUUUGUUUCAGUAAGCACGAAGUUUGGCAUGCCUGACACUAAAGCGUCGAAUUGUGAUUGCAAAGCAUUGCGACAUUCAUCUAAUUUUAUCUUUCCAUAAGAAUUGGUGAAUAUGGCAUUCUCCUCCAUGUUGUUUUUCUCCUUGUACAUGAUUCCCAUUUUUACAUUUGAUGAAUAAUAGUAGAAGUGCUUCCUUGAGUUUAGGCACAAGUUUCCCACACUACAAAGUGCUUUGUCAAAAAGAGUAUAUUUAUAGCCAUUGACAAACAAAGAAGAAUAAUAAUAAUUGUUCUAAAAGGGAUCUUUUUACGAAACCAGAAAGAAAUGGUGUGUCCCUUGCUUCUGUGCCUUGAUUUGCAUUGAAAUCCAGAAAACUUUUCUAGAUUCGAUGGAAUCCCUCGAUCUUCCUCAAAACACUUGCAUUCAUCCAAUCUAAGGAUCCUAAGAAGGUUAAUUUUUAAAUUGUCACCUGAUAUUGUUAAGUGACGAAGUUCACUAAGAUUUUGAAAGGAAAAUGGAAAUUCUCCUAUGGAAGUUUCCUUCAACAAGAUAGAUUUUAUAUUUGUCAUCUUGCAUAAUAAUUCUGGAAAACUCUUGAGACUCUUACAAUUAGAGAGUUCCAAAUUCUGAAGAGAGGGAGACUGUAAGGGUGGAAAACUCUCGAGCUUCUCGCAACCCUCUGCAUUUAAGAUUUCUAAUCUAUUUAGGUAUCUAAGUGAAUUGUGAAUUGUAACUAAAUUAUGACAUCUUGCAAACGAGAACUUUUCUAAAUUUGGAAGCCAUGAGACAUCGGGUGUAUAGAUUAAAUCUUGACAAUUGUCGAAUAUCAACACUUUCAUAUUCUCAAGCUUCUGCAUAAACACACAGAAGAAACAAAAAAUAAAUAAAUAAAAACCAAACACUAUACUCUCAUAGUGAAUUAUAAAUAUAUACAAUUAGGAAAUGGAACUAUAUAUGUACAAAAAAAAUGAUAUUGUUUAACUUGCCUUAUUCAAACUACUAGAUGAUGGAGACCUCAGAAUACAUCCUUUCAUUACCCUCAAACUUCUUGGAAGAUACUUGAGACUUUGAAUAUGAUAGCCAUUUUCAGUAAUAAACGUUUUGAGGUGUGUCAUCUUCUUGAAGGCCUUUCCAUUCUUGUCUAUUACGGAUUCCAUAGAGUGCAAAUUCAUAUAUAUCAUUUCAAUUUUACUGGUUCCCUUUUAACGAAAAAAAAAAAAAAAAGAUGAAUCAACCACAAUACAAAUAAGAUAGAGAAAUUUAUGUGUAAUUAACUGAAAAGAAUUAGUAGUAUCAGAUGCUUGUAUACAUAUCCAAAAAGAGCAAAGUCAUGUUAAAAGCUAAAUAACAAAUUGUUCCUGCAUAUCAAUCUUACUCACAGUGUUUUCUUCUAGAACUUCAAAUAUAUCCUUUUCAAACCAUAACCUGCUUCUUUUUCCAGGCUCAAAAGGUGAUUCUAGUCGGACGAGUUCUUUACCCAUGUUCUCUAUCAAGUUAUGUAAUGACACAUGACUAUCGUAUUCAAAAUGGUCAAUGAGACAUUUUUCAACUAGCACUUCAACAUGAUGAUUUAUGCAAUGACCAUAAUGAGCAUGAAGUAUUUCUUUGACCUUUUCCCAUUUACAACCUUUGAAGCAACAAGCAAUGUCUAGAAAGACACUUUGCUCCUCUUCCUCCAAAGAAUCAUAGCUCACUUUAAGUAUUCUUUGGAUCUCUUUAUUGGGAAUCUUUUCAUACCAAUCUAAUGUAUUCUUGCAUUCUUCUAUGUUCUUUCCAAACAAGUUAGAACCCACUAUUUCUAUAACUACCGGAAGGCCAGAAGCAUAAGCAACUACACGAUUCAAAAUCUUUUCAUAACUUGAAGGAACUUUGUCAUUUUUAAAAGCCAUCCACCUCAACAAUUCAAGAGCUUCUGUCACAUUCAACCCUUUUACUGCAUAUGUUUUUUCUAUCUCAUGACAGGCUAGUAAGUGUUUAUCUCGGGUGGUGAUGAUGACUCGGCUUCCAGGACCGAACCAAUCAACUCCUCCAGCCAAAGCAUUCAGUUGCUUCAUAUUGUCAACGUCAUCGAGAAUCAAAAGAAUCUUCUUUCUACACAACCUUUCCUUUAUGAUUGAGAUUCCCUCACUGACAUCUGCUAACUUAAUUUUCAGUUGAAGUGUCUUUGAAAGGAGCAUCUCCUGGAAACGUUUCAAGCUAUUUGAAGCUGAAUUCUCUCUGACUUGUUCAAGAAAACAUAAACCUUCAAAUUGAUCAGCAACAAAAUUAUAGAUUGCUCUUGCAAGUGUUGAUUUACCUGAGCCUCCAAUCCCAUAAAUUCCAACCAUAUGGACCCCAUCAUCAGGUCCCUCAUCAAGAAGCGAUUUCACUUGUUGUACUCGAGACUGCAAUCCAACAGGGUAAGUGGCAACAUGUAAGGACUGUCGACUGAUCUUGUUGGAGAUGUAUUUGACUAUCUUUCCAAUAAGCUCGUAUUCAUAUCUAUUCAUGUCCAAUAAUAUAAGUUAGUAUGUAACAACAUCACACAAUCACAUCCAUGUACUCAUAAUAUAUUAUACAUUUUUAACUAUUUUGACAUAUAAAUAACUAACAAUUGUUUAAAAACAUAAAUAAAAAAGGUGUUACACAUUUAGGCUUUAAGAUGGUAUUGAGGAAUAGAAAUUAAAUAAAUUAAAUGCAAAAAGCAAAACAGGAAUUAAGUAAAUAGGCGUACCCAUGACUAUCAUCAUGGUAGCUGGGCAAGUUAGCAGCCAGACUCAGAGCCACUUUCCAUUGCUGCAACCUCUCCAUGUUUUUCGUAUCAUUUUGAAACCUAUUUUCAUGCUCAGCCAAUGCUUUACCAUACCUACCUGUAUGAUGUCGCACAUCAGUAGGUUCCACACCAAAGAAAACAGGCAAAACGAGGCAACCCUUGGUUUUGUAGCAGUGAAUGAUGUGGACAAGUGUGUCCAAACAAGAUGAAGAAGAUGCAUAGUUGGCAGAAAAUAUGGGAAUCAAAAUCCUGGAUUCUUCAAUAAUGAUUGGUGUGACUUUGUCUCUUCUUUGAAGAUCACUGUCAUCGUCAUCAUGGAAGGUACGAAUUCCCUUGUCAAUAAGAGCCUUCAAGAGAUUGCCGGUGAAACCGUACCGAGUGUCGGUGCCCUUACAAAUGAGGAACACAUCGUAACUGAAUGCAUAGGAAAAUGAAGAGGAAUAGAAAGGUAAUUGCAUGGCCAUGAGAAUUGAGAGAAAUAAGAUGAGAAGAGUUUGAGAAUGCAGAAUAUGAAUGAGGAUGUUUUUGUGGUGUGAUGUGAAACUUUAAGACAAGGAGAAAACUUCUGACGAAAAAUGGUCUAUGAAACUUCCUUGCCAUUUCCUAUUGCCGUGUGGACCAGUCAUUGUCUACCGCCUCUUGUAAAGUAAUUUCUUCAAUGUGGUUACUGUUCAACUUUUGGGGAAAACUUAAAUAAAUAAUAAAUAAAUAACCGGUUAACAACCUAAAAGUAUAAAAAUUAAAUUAAAUUUUGCAUUGAAAAUAACACUUUUUCAACAUUUAAAAAAUAACUAAAAAAGAGAAUAUUUCAUUUUAUAACUCUCAACAAGUGUUCUUCCUUAUUUAUAUUGUACUAUGUUUAUUCAUUUUCUCAUCUUGCGUGUGGACCGGUGUAGAAAACUUUUUUUUUUUUUUUGAAAGGACCAGUGUAGAGAACUUGUUAUGACAAAUUUUCUAUAUCCCUGCGUGUGGACCAAUCACCAAUAAUCUAUAUCCCUACGUGUUGACCAAUACCAACCCUGCCUUGAAAAUAUUACCACUUGACCCAAUUGGUUAGUUAACUAACCAUGCAUGCACACACAAUUAUUGCCCUAGGUUUUAGGUUAAAUAAUCAUUUUUAAAAUGAGUGUCACUUUAGUCAAAAAAAAUUGUUUAAAAAUAAAUAUCUUUAUCUUUAUCUUUAUUAUAUAUAUUGCGCUAUUUUUUCUUAAAAGUACACGUGUCAUCCUAGAAUUCUAAGGAACAUUUAAUGUUGUUCUGAUUCAAUGCAUUUCAUGUUUUUUUAUUUAAAUUGUUUUUGCUAUUUAAUUUCAUUACUAAAUUAAGGGCAAAAUUGAUGCAAUUUACUUGCUUCUUUUUUUCUAUAAAUAUUGUUCGUGAGUCUCAACAUUUUCACGUCAUUCAGAAUUCAAUUUUGAAAUUCUUCUCUGAAAUCUCUCUUAUAUUUUAUUGAAACACUUUUCUUCUUAGCAUAUUUUUUUUCAUCACUCUAAUUUCAAAAGCUGAUUCAAUUUAUGAUAUCAAUCCACUAAAUGUUGUGGAUAUCCAUGUAUUUUGUCCAAAUUCACAUAUUCGCCCUAUGAUAAUUUCAAGUUCUAACGGUUUAUGGCAUGGAUGUAACGCCCACUUUCGUUUAAUCGUUAUUUAAUCGAGUUUAGGCAAUUAUAUUAUAAUUAUAUAAUAUAUGCAUGAUUUUGAUAUGUUUUGAUGAUUUGAUUGAUGACGUGAUAAGUUAUGAGGUUUGGAGGAUUUGAUUAAGAUAUGAGAUUUAUUUUAUUGAUAAAUAGAAUAAAGAUUUGAAAAUAAUAUAAAAUAUUUAGUUGAGGGCUGUUUUGAUAUUUUAGAUAGUUUUGGGGGAGAAAGUGAGAUAAGAUAAGUAAUUAGGAAGAGAUAUAAAUAGAGAAGACCUAAUUGUUAGAAAAACUGAUUGUACGUGAAAACUUUUGGAAAAGGGAGAAAAAGCUUAGAGAGGAGCAAGAGACCAAGAGGGCUGCGAUUUUCUUCAUAACCAGGUAAGGGUGGGACUAAUAACUCAGUAGCAUUAACCUCUGUAAUUCUGAUGAUUAGUUGACAAAGUUAGGAUUGAUUUAGAGAAGUUUUGGAAUUAGGUCAAAACCCUAAAAUUUGAGAAUAAACGGUAAAACUUGUUUAGAUUGAUGUAAGAAUUGUCCUGUAACCUUAGAAUAUGUUUAGGAUGAAUUCUGGAAUCAAAACCAAGCUUAGAACCAUGUGAAACGUCGGAUUUUUGUGAUUUUAGGAAGCCUGGCCGUAGCGACAUUCAUCGCUCGCCACGGCGAGCUAUGAUCCUCGCCUCGCGAGUGAUGAAGUUCAUCGCUCGCCACGCGAGCCCUUCCUUUUCGCCUCGCGAGUUGUUUGGUUCAACUCGCCAUGGCGAGCAACCCCUCCUCGCCUCGCGAGCUUAGGCAGAGUGCAUGUCAUAUUUUGUGUUUCGACCUUUUUAGUUGGACCUUGGAUGCCUAUGAGUGCCUAAACAUACCUAGAGAUGAUUAGGAAUGAUUUUAGGACAGGAUUGAACCCAGAACAACAUUAGUUUGGGAGAUUAGUGUUACUCGCCAUGGCGAGUAAGUACUCUCGCCUCGCGAGUACAACCAGAAUGUAGUUGCUUGAGUGUUUGUGCGAUCUGUGUCGCACGAGUUGAUCAAGAGUGAACCCCUAAUUGGUAUUGAGACCUAGUGGUGACGUUUAAUGCAGCCUGUAGAGUUGUUUAAGUUAUAUUGAUAUUAAUUGAGCAAGAACUAAUGUAUUGUAUAUUCAUGCAAGAUAUGAAGAUUUGAUAAUAAUGCAAUUUAUGUGCUAUUGAUAUAAUGAUAUCAUCUUGAUAUGUGACUUGUUUAUGCUGCUUCCGUUAUUUAACUAAGUGCAUAUGUUUAUGAUAAGGUUUAGCUCCAAAUUAUUGGAUGCAUGUUGAUUACGAUGAUUACGUGUUUUGUUCAUAAGUGUCCAUGCAUAGCAUAUCAUUGAGCUUAGUCCUCACCACGAAAAUUAGGAGCUUUGUCCUCCGCACGUUUUAUAGGAGCUUUGUCCUCCGCACGAUUAAAGUAUAUUAAUACUUAUGAUGACGAUUGGUACCACAUGCAUAUAAGGAGUCUAAGAGCAUUGUCACAUUGUCAUGAUUAAGAUGCCUUGUUGAUGAUGAUUGGUUAUGUGAUUACGUGAUAUGUGUUUAUUAAUUAUGAUAUGUUAUUCCUAAUGAUUGGAUAUAUGAUUACGUGAUAACUGUUUAGCAAUUAUGCAAAGUUAGUAAUGGAAUGAAUAUGAUGUUAAUGUAUGAUUCUCAUUUACAUUGAUUAAUGUUAUUGUAUUAUGAAAUCUCACCCCUUCUGCUUGGAAAUGUUGCCUUUCGUAUGGGUAACUUGCAGGUGAUCGUGCUUAGUGUGCAGUUGCCGUCGUGAGUGGCCUUGCCUUCACUGUGUCGUCUAGGUCGCUCUGAUACGUAACGGGAUGGGGUUAUAUGCUAUAACAUGCUUCAUUCUCUUACGUGGAUAAUAUGUUAUUUUUAUUAUGUUAUGGAAUAUGAACUAUUUUGAUGGGGCCUACGUGCCAAACUGAUUUAUGAUUUUUGAAUUAAAUAUUCUGCUGCUAUGUUAAAGAUAUGGUGAAGGUUAAAUUAUUAUUUAACUGUUUUUGGAUUACGUUUCUAUGUGAUAUCCCGUUUAUGGUUUUUACUCUGAUAAUUGUUUAUGAAAUUUGUAUAUUGGGAAAACGGGGUGUUACAAUGGACAUCAUAGAUCUACCCAAAAAAAAGUUAGAUAAUAUAAUUUUUUUUUUGUUGUUGUGGAGAAUGUCCAUUUGUUGGGUUUUUUUCCAUCUAUAAUAUAUGUUAUGUUCGGUUUCAUAUUCUAUUGAAAUUUUGCCUUUAGAUUGUUGGUUAGUCCUGUAUAAAUAUUUUUGUAAGAUUUUGUUUUGUUUGUGUCUGCUUCCCAUUUGUACUUAUUCCAUAAAAGAUUUUGAUUUAUUGUGUUAUUUCCUUUUGGUUGCCAUUGUAACACUAAGAUCAAUUAUUUUUAUAUCUAUGAUCUUUUGUUUAAUUUAUUCAUGUUUUGAUGUGUAUAUACGUUUGUAAUCAUUUUGUAUAUAAUCAAUUCAUUUCUUAGACAUAUAAUUCAUAGGUACCUAAAUUAGAGUGAUUUUAUUUGUCAAUAUACAACGAAUGUGAUUCGGUGGAUGCUAUCAAAAUGAGAUUGAUUUCGUCAAUAAUAUAAUAUUAAUUUAUUUCUCCUAAAAACAUUUAUUCAUUUUACAUUUUUAUAAUUUAAUUGGGAAUAAUUAUACUCCAAGCAAUAAUUAUUCUAAAAGAUAUUUAAACAUAAAUUGUUACGAAUCAAAAAAAUAGAAACUUCUUUUUUAUACAAAAAAAAAAUUAGAAACUAUUAACCGUCAAUUGCCAAAGUAUGUCUGACAUAUAUAUUAGCAUAUAUUCCUUGGAGUAAGCAUCAAUUUUCCUCAUAGAACCGCUUGACCAAAUAUUACAAAACAAAACACGAUAUAAUGAUCCAUUUUAAUAUUGGUUUGAUCUCUACCAAAAAAAAUAUAUAUUGGUUUGAUCUUAAUUGCUUUAAUGGAACUUAAAUAAAAUAUAAUGUAAUUGAUUCAUUUUAAUAUUGUUAAAGUAAACAUAAAUGAUUGCAAUUAAAAAAAAAGUAAACAAAAAUGUCACACAAUUAUCCAAGAGCGUUUAGAUGAGAUGACACGAGUCUCUUCUAGCUUAACCAGGUCCUUGAGCAAGCAACAAUUUUAACUUUUGUCACACAUUUAGGUCCCACAAGACUCGAAAGAUUAGUCUCCACGGUUACGCGCCCGGAGGAUAUCUGAUUUCCACAAAACAAAUGUCACAUAGUUUCCAUUUCUAAAAUUGUUACUGUACACAUGACAUCUUUCUUUGUCAAACCUACCUAAGCAAUAUUGAUAUGCCUCUAUCUGAUCAUGAGACAUCACCGGAACAGAGAAAAAAAAUGAUAUAUUAAUAAAACCAACGAUUGCAUAAACACAAACACAUAGCUAGAGACUCUAGAAAAGAUCCUUGCAACUCCAAGUAAAUAAAAAAUAUAUAUGUUGUCGUGAACUUUAAAAACAAGUUUUGUUUAAAUUUAUUUAUUUCAUUCAAACCCUACAAAAAUGCAUCAUUUUAGGUAAAUUUAUUAGAAAAAGUAGGUAAAAGAGAACAAAUGUGUUUCAUUCUAAUUUUGGACCAAAAUAUCAAUUUUCUAUAAUAUACUUUUAUUUACGAUUACGGUUUGAGAGAGUUUUUUUUUUCAUAAGUGUCUCAUUAUAUGUAUUGGUCACCUUUACAUAAUUUUUAUCACAAAAAAAUUAAUAAUAAGUAUGGGUUCUUUCAUAUGGCCGUUUUCAAAUGUAGUACUCGAUGUUAUGUUAUGUUAUGUUAUGAUUGGUAUAUUAGUUAAUUUCAAUUUUUUUAAUUUUUUUUAUCACUAUUACUUCCAAAAGAUCAAUACUCACUAUUACAAUUUAGUUUUAUGAUUUAUAUCAAAACAAUUUUUAAACAACUACCAUCUAUCUCUAAUUAUAAGCAAAAAUGUUCAUUCAAGCAGUUUAGCAUGCAUUGUUUGUCGGCCUAUUAAAUUUAGUAGUAUUUUCUCCUUUCUUAAGGAGGUUGUAAUGAAUGAUAUGAUGAAUAAAAUGCUAGGUGUUAACGUCAUUAGUUGUUUCUAGGAUGAAUAUGGUGUCAAAUGAUCUUAAUAUAACAUUUAAAUCAUAUGGUAUGCAAUUUCAAUUAACAUUUUAUUUUGCAAUAACCAUAAAUAGAAGUCAUAUAAAUGUCUAUGUAGGUAUUUAUCUUUCGAAUCAUGUCUUUACACAUGGAUAACUUUAUGUUAUUGUCUCUCGCCUUACAUCUAAAAAUGAAUGAAAUUUCUAAAUUCGAUGAAGAAAAUAAUAUUUGCAAUGAGACUACGAAUGUUUUGUAUCACAAUGUUUUGCAAAAUUUGUAAACAUUAAUAAUGAAAUCAAGUUAUUUCUUUUAUAGGGAAAUGCUAACCGGUGCCCCCGGGGCACUGGUUAAGGGUAUGAAAAAGGAAAUUAUAUAGUAGUUAAUGCAUUAAAAUUGUGUAAUUAAUUUAUCAUAAUGUCAAAAAUAGUUUCCUUUUAUGGUAAUAAUUCCCUUUUAUGGUAUGUUUAACCCGUUCCCCGGGGGCACCGGUUAGCAAGACCCUUCUUUAUAUUAUAUUAUGCUAUUGUUAUUCUUAAAAUUUAUUUGUGGUUUAUAUCAGUAGCAAUUAACCUCUCAUUAUUGUAUUUAUGGCACUAGAAAUGACAAUAAAUUGGUUUCAAUGCAAUGAUAUAUAUGACAACAACAUGUAUUGCAUUUAAAUAAGGAUGUAACUUUCUUCCCUUUCAAUUCUUCCCUUUCGAAUUUGAAAUCUUAACCAUUAUUUCCUUUAUUUUCAUUCCCGCAUAUUUCAUCUAUUAGAGACCAAAAUAAUUAAAUUCAAAUGGUUAAUACACCUCAAUAUGACCAAUACAUGAACCAAAUAAUUGAAUUCAAAUGGUUAAUAAGCUCUCUAAGGACAUAUUGUAUGAAAACACACACUCCUCAUCAUCUAAAUAAAGCUUGCUUAUUGGGUGUACUGCAUAGUCACUCAUUCAUGUUAGCAUUUUUUUCCAAUAAAUUUCAACACAUGUUGAAUUACAUGCAUUAUACAUAUUUUUCCUUCAAAAAAAUGCAUUAUACAUAUUUAAAUUUGUCAUUUAUUUUAAUUGAUUUAUGGUGAAAAAUAGCCAAAAAAAUUUAACGUGCAAGAUGCAAAUUAGCCAAGUUUUCUUCUUAUUUUUAAACGCUAAUAAUUGCAAUAGUUUUCCUAAUAAAUGCAUUACUAACUAUUUAAUCAUUAAUUAACCAUUUUUUUUUUGAAGAAUCAUUAAUUAACCAUUAAGUUUAGCAUAUUUCCUCACUUUUUAUAUUUUACGAUCCAUAAAUCAUGCAAUUGCUUAUGUGAUUUUUAUUAAGUCAUGUAGUUUUUUUUUCUCUAAAAAAAAAGUCAUGUGGUUUUUUUAAUCUCUAUUAUAAACAUUUCCCUUAUUUUAUUUUGAUAGUAUAUGUGGCAAGCUUAUAUUGAAAGGUGCAGUUAAUGUCUUUCUAUCAACCAAUGAGUAUGAAUCGUGACUCAUAAUCUUUGAACUAACGAAUCAAAAUAGAUCAUGACUCAUUUUGUUAAGUGAAUGUGGCAUCUUCACAUGAUCUACAUCUCAUUUAAUGUUUUCUUAUCAUCCAAUUAAAUUGAAUUAUGACUCAUUUAUUUUUUAUUAGCCAAUCAAGAUGGACCAUGACUCAUUUAGUUUUCACCAACCAAUCAAAAUUGAUUACACAAUGAUUUUUGUCUCUGUAUAUAGACAAUUUGUUUUUCAUUAUUUUCAUGUGUCUCUUCCCCCCAUAAAUUUUUUCGUAAAAACAAGUAUUUUAUGUGUUUUUCUUUUUUAUUUGUAUCUAAUUGUUUAUUGUUAAUGCUACUUUCUCAGGGUUCCAUUGGAGAGCAUGUGUCUACGUUCUACGACUUCAAGAUGUUCAACAUCAACAAUAUAAUUUUUAAUCAACAAUAUAUUGCAAAGAAAAAAUGAUGUAUUGUCGAAAUUUAAAUAAUUGAGGUUACUUAAAAAACUAUUGAAUAUUUUAUUUUUUUAAAAUAAACUAAAAAUAAAAAUAUUUUAAGUUUUUUAUUAUUGUUUCACAUCUAAUUUUUCAAAAGGAAUAUUUCAUGUACUAAAAAAAAUCGAUAAAUUUAAAAAAAAAUCAUUAAAUUUUGAAUAAUUCAAUUUGAAUAAUUAGUUUUUUUUUUCUAUGUAUAAUCAUGACAAAAUAAAUUAAGACUCAUUAAUGUGACCAUUUAAAUUAAAAUGAUUCUAUUAAAUGUCUCAUUUAUUGGGUCAGAUGAUAAAAAAAUAUUAUUUAAAUGAUACUAUUAUAUGAUAUCAUGUUUUGAUUCACUAUUGUUGCUAUUAAUAGCAUUCCUAAUUAAGAUUGGCUCGGCUAAUAACGAGUUAACUCAACCUCAAGAGCUUUGAUUUAAACCCCACUAUUAUCGUGAAGAUAUCUUUGAUAGGGAGUAACUUUGUGAGUGUUCAUUGUGUCAUGAGACAUAUCUUGAUCUUGAUGUGUCCUCAGAGUCUAACUCACCUAAAAAAAAUUAUAAUAAAAAAAAACAUUUUUUUUUAAAUUGUAAAAUGUAUAGAUUAUGAUAGUAGUCUUUGAAAAACAUCAAUUUAUUUUAUGAAAAGUUAAGGGUGUGUUUGUUUCAAGGCAAGAAAUUACAUUCCUUGAAACGACAUUCCUACCCAUUUCUUUGGUAAAAAUUUAGAUUUCCUGAAAUAUUUUAGAAAUUAAUUAAUUUAAAAAAUAAAAAUGGAAAUAAACGUUAAUGGUAGUUAGAAUUUAUGGCAAGUUGAGUUUUAUUACCAUAUGAAUUUUAGAUUUCCAUCCUUUAAGCAUGAAAAUAACAAUAGAAGAAAACAUGUGUAAAUAACAUUCCUCAUAAUAUAAUAUUCAUGGGAACAAAUUUUCAAAACUUGAAACAAACAUGAGAAUGUUGCAUAUUUCUAAUCUCACGUUCGUAGGAGUCAUAUUACAAACCUUGAAAUAAACACACCCUAAGGCCUAAAGUCUCUUUAACAUAUUCUAAAGGUUAACUUUUUUUUUUUUUUAAGAAAUAAUAAUAACAAACACAAAUUAAAAGGAGAAUUGAAUGAUAUCAAAAAUUAAAUUUUAGCAAUAACUCAGUGAUUUUGUAAUUUUCAAUUUUACGAAUUUUCAACGAAACUUUUUAUACAAUUUAUUUAGGGGCCCUCAAAAAAGUGAAUAUAGAUAGGGUGCUUCUAUAGCCACCAUUCUCUACAUGCACCUUAUUUAUUUGCUCCACAAUGGGGGUGUUUAUUUAUUAUGGUGUUAAAUAGGUGAAACACUCAUCAUUGUGGAUAGUCUUAGAGAUAAAAGAGCACUCACAAAUAUAUUUAUGUUUACUUAUCUCCAAGGAUAUUAGCUGAGUUCGAAACUCAAAAUCUUGAAAUUCAAAGUUUGUCCUUCUGCUACUAGAUUAAACCCUUAAGUUGGAAAAUCGCAUUGAACAACAAAAUGAAUUUUUAUUUCAAAUUAAUAAUGACAAAUGAAAUAUCCCUUAUACCCAAACCAUCUCUCAUCUUAAUUUUUUACUAAAAGAGUUUGUUGGUUUAAUUGUUCAUGCUAAUUGGGAUUGCUCAGUCAAACAUAUUUUUCAAAAGUUAUUGGUAAUUUUGUGGAUUUUUUGAAGGAGUUGAAAAAAUGACACCACAAAAUGAAUAAAACCUUAAGUCAUCAAGUAUAUUGGUCAUCUAACGUAUAUGUAAAAUCUACUUUAGCAUCCAAUAUAGAACUUUAACUCGCACUUGACACAUUGACAUCUCUACAUUAAGUUUCAGACUCUUUGCGACUGGGAUAUAGAGAUAUAAUAAAAUAAAGUUAUACAGAUGCACAACAUGCUAAAAAAGGUAGGUUAAUGGUGACUUUAUAUAGAGUUUUUAUCCCUUUCAUUCAUGAUAAAUAAAGAAUUAAGCAAGUGUAAUCCAAAAUAGAAGAAAACAAUUUAUCUUAAUGUUAGGACUUAGCGUAAACUGGGUUGGAUAAUCAGAUUAGACUAAGAGCAACUACUCAAGUGAGAUUAACAUCACAUAUUCAUCCAAAUCCUAAAGACAUUAGAUUAUAGGUCAUCUCACUUAUAUGUUUGUCACUAUAUUUUCUUGCAUUCAAUCUGAAACUAAUAUAAGACAUGUUAACAUCUCUCCCUUUAGGUGUGAGACUGACAUCUGUGAUUUGGUAACAAAGCCAAAUAAAACUAGAUGAAGACAUAUCAUUGUAAAAAUGGUCAGUUGGUGGUGAUUUAAUGGAUGGAGGUUUACGUUAAUUUCUUUCAUGAGAUGUUACGAAAUAAAUUAGAUAAGGAAAUAAAUUAAAAUAAUAAUUUGAACAUGAGAGAAAUGAUAAGAAAAAAAAAGGAUUGUGUGCUUUUAUGGUUGCGUAUAAGGAAUAGAGUGAAUUAUCAAUAAUUUUACUGGUUCGAUUCAGGAGUUGGACAUUUUUUAGUAAAUAUUUAACCAAAAUAUUAGACUAACUAAAAAAACGCCAAGUUAUUUUAAAGUUUCUGAUAAGUAUUUAUUUUGUCAAAUCAACCGCAGUUGAGCACGUAAACGAAUUCCUUCUAUCAUUGGUUCCAGGAGACGAAAAGGAAUAUAUCAGUUCUGAUACGAUUUGCAAAUCAGACGAGAAUAAUGAGGUACAAAGUGUCAAGUUAUGGAUUUGAUAAAGAGAGCGACAAAACUGCUAUGUUCAAAAUCAAUAGGCUAAAGUGCACUUUUCUCCCCUUAACUUUAAAAAAGUUGCAAUUUUGGCCCCCUAUAAAUAAAAACUACAAUUUUGACCCCCUAAGAUUUAGCUCCUUUGCAACUUUGGUCCUUUUGGCCAAUUUUGACCAAAUCAACGCUGAUUUGGCAUGCCAUGUGUGUAUUUUUUAAUUAUUAAUUUUUUAAAAGCUACAUAAUCAUGUAUUAAAUUAAAUAAAUUAAAAAAGAAAUUGAAAAUUUUUUAAAAUCAAAAAAUUGUAAAAAAAAAUAGUAUUAUUUAUUACAUCAUUUAUGUUAUUAACCAUUUUUUUUUAAAGGAAUGUUAUUACCCAUUUGAUUAUCCCUUUUAUUUUAUUUGUUUAACAACAAAUUACAGGUGAGGUCUAUGUUACCCUCUCUUGUUUAGAGGGUAAUUUAUCUUCUCAUGAUAUCAACCAAUCAAAAUGUAAUAUACAUGGGUACAUUAAAUGUCAAAUAAAUGAGUAGAUUUUUUCUAAAAUAAAAGUGUUAAUUUUAAAUUUUUUUUUAAGGAAAGUUAAUCUUAAUCAUAAGGUAACUUUUAAUACUUUUAAUUUUUAUUUAAUUUUUUUUUGUAAAAUAACAAAUGAUUUUUUUUUUUAUAUUAAGGUGUUCAAUCUUAAUUAACUUACACUACAAGACUUAUAACAAAUAAAAUUUUACAUCAAAUUUCUUUCGUUUGGAUGUCCUUAAAUUCAUCAUUUACAUUCAUAAAAUUUCUUCCAUUCCAUUACUCAAAACGUGAGAACAAAAAUAUCUCCUUCUUUCAAAUUUCUUCUUCUUUAUUCUUCCAUAUUGAUCAAUUUUGUUUCUUUUUCAUUAUUCUUUCCAUUUUGAUUGUUCAAUUUUGUCGUUCCAAAUUGCCGCAAUUUCCAAUUAUCGUGAGAAUUGUCGUUGUUUCUAGAACCGCGUCAGGUAUCGUGACUUAUUUUUUUUAGGUUUAAUACAUCAUUUGGUCCCUUAACUUAUUUUUGGAUUUCAUUUUGGUCCUUUAACUAUAAAGUGUCUCAAUUUGAUCCCAUAAAUAUUCUGCCGUUUACUCUUUUGGUCAUCUCCGUUAAUUUUUUAAAAUAUAUUAUUCUUGAUAUAAUUUUAACCACUUGAUUGCAGGUCUAUAGUAUCUAAGAGUGAACCAUCAACACUUGAUUUUUUACGGUUUUCUUCAUCUUCUCUCUUCUUCAUACUAUGCAAACUUCAAAUAUGCAGAACCAAAAAAUACAUCAAAUCCUAAAAUCUUAAACACAUCAACAACACCUUGUUUAACACUCAUAAAAAAAGUCCAUAGAAAUUUAUCAAUAGUAAUCAACAACAAAAUCAUCAUCUCAUAUUAUCACACCUCCAAUUUCUUAAAUCCAGAAAUCGUCAACAACAAUGUCUUUUUCUUCUUAGAAUUUGAUUAUCGGCUACAAUAAAUAAAUCUUUCAAAACCUUUAAAGGUCCACACUUACGGUUUAUACCUCCUUUUCCUUUAUAAAUUCAUAGCUUUAAUUCCUACAACAACCCAACAGACACAUAUUAUUCUUUGUUUAAUUUCUGUCUAUCUCUUAUAUUUCACUUUCUUGUUGCCUUCUCUAAAAUAAUACAAAUAUGAACAAAAUUGCAGCCUUGUUCUUCAUGGCACUUUUACUCUCCUGCAUGCUCUUCCACUCUUCACGCCCUGACCCAUCUUUUCAAAAGGAAUUUUUGGUAGCAACACAUAAUCCGGAUAAAAGCAAAACUCAAAGAAAUCAUCAAACCCAAAAAAAAAAAAAAAAAUAUAAAAUCUCCAGGUCCAAAGUAAUUUACUUAUAAACAACCCAGCAAGAACAACUGAUUAUUGCUAAGAUGAAAGGGACCAGAUUUGAAUCAAACCCAACAAUUGAAUAUGUAUAUUUGAAUUCAAACGAAACAUGAGAUGAAUUGCGUUGUUUCAAGAGAUCAGAUAAAAGGGGCAGAUUGUACGGGAAUGAGAUGAAUUGCGUUGUAUGCAAGAUGAAGGAAUGAGUUUUAGAGAUAGGGAGAGAUGGGGGUGGUUAUGAUCGAGAGAAAGAGGUCCAUAGAGAGAUGGUUAGUUGAUAGAGUGGAAAUGGAUCUUUCUGGUUUUUUUUUUUUUUUUUUUUUAAGAUGAAGAUGAAUAAAGAUCUGAUGUAGAAGACUACUACGGAAAGAAGAUGAAGAAAAAAAAUGAGGUGAUUGUGGUUUAUUAUAAGCUACAGAAGAUCCCCCUCUAUGAUCCAACAAUUUUCAUUUUAAAAAAAGAUCAAACGGUUAAAAUUAAAAAAUUUAAUAAAGUUUAUGGUAGACCACCUACAAAGUUAAUUCACCUUAGACAUUUAAAGUUAAAAAUUAACGGAGAGGACCAAAAUAGUAAACGGAAGAAGAUUUAUGGGACCAAAUUGAGACAAUUUAAAGUUAAGGGAUCAAAAUGAAAUUCAAAAAUAAGUUAAGGGACCAAAUGAUGUAUUAAGCUUUAUAAGCAGCCAACCUAAUAAAAUCUGUUAACACGCAUAGACCUGUCUCAUUAUCAGCAAACGUCUUUAAUUUCAAAUAAAAGAACAAAAGCCUCAUCACAUAACCAUUUCAGCAGCAACCAAAAAAAUGCUAGCAAACUCCCACAACAACACCUACUAGCAGCCCUCAAAGUACAACGGAUGAUUUACCCAAUUGUUAUAAUUAACUACCUCACAACCAAGAAAAAUCAAAUCAAAAAGAAAAAUCAAGUCAUCAUACCUGACGUUGUACUAGAAAUAACGACAUUUCUCACGAUAUUUGAAAUCAUGACGAUUCUCACAAAAAUUGAAAAAUACGGCAGUUGGGAACGACAAAAUUGAACAAUCAAAAUGGAAGGAAUAAAUUUUAUGAAUAUAACUGAUAAAUUUAAGGGCAUUCAGAUGAAAGAAUUUUGAUGUGAAAUUUUAAUUGUUCUAAUUAAGCCAGUCAUGUAGUGUAGAUUAAUUAAGAUUGAACACCUAAAUAUAAUUAAGGCAAUAUUAUAUUAUGGGUCAUUUAUCUUAUUUAUUUGUAACACUUUGGUACUUUGUCUUUAUUUUUUUCCCGCUUAGGUCCUUUAUCUCUCUUAAAAGCACAUAUAAAUCUUUUUUCGCAUUUUUUUAAUUAAAAAAUACAUAAUUUUAUUUUUAAAAAUAUAUUUUUAUUAAACUUGGAAAAAAAUCCAAAAAUAUGAUGAAGAUGUUCAUCAUCUUCAUCUUCUUCCUAUGAAUCUUCAUCAUCUUCUUUAAAUAAAUAAAAAAUUCUACUAAAAUAUAUCUCCAAAUAUCGUGAAUUAAUAUUAUAUUCACAUCAAAUCUUAUUUUAAACACAAAAAUCAAAACCUUAAUUUCACAAAUGUUGUAAGGCGAAUGGUGGAGGCUUAGUCAGUGGCGGAAGGGUUAGGCUUUACGAAAGUUAAUAUUGUUCUGGAAACAACAAAAUUGAUGUGCAAAGCUGCUAUCAAUUUUGGGGUUAUUUUUAUGUCGGGCUUGAAUAUUGAGUUAGAAAAUAAUAAUAAUAUACAGCGUGACAAUUUAUAUAACUAAUUUUUUUUUUUUUUUUUGUGAUGAAACUAAAUCUCUUUCUCUAUAGGGGUUUGAUUUUUGUGUUUAAAAGAAGAUUUGAGGUGAAUAUAACAUUAAUUCAUGAUAUUUGGAGAUAUGUUUGUGUGGAAAUGUUUUUGAUUCAAUGAAGAUGAUGAACAUCUUCGUCAUAUUUCUGGAUUGAAAAAUGUUACAUGAACACCCUUUAAUCAUACACCCUAUUGUACAUCCUAUGUAUUAAGGAUAUUUUGGUAAAUUCAUCUCACAACCAUACUUUCUCUUUCAUCUCCUCUCCCUUUUCCUUGCCACAUGUCAGGAUUUUAUGUGGGUGUAAGAGGUGUAUUGCCACAUGGGUGUGUACAUGUAUCACCACUCUUCUGGAUUUGUUUCAUUUUAAUAUAACCCCCCAUUGCAUUUUUCACAUUUAUUAAGAAAUGUUGUCUGUGCAGUUAAUGUGUCUGAUUUAUGUUACAAUUUUACUAAACUACCCUCAUUCCACUAUUAAUGGAUUACCUCGGUUGCCUUUAUUAUACUUACAUUAAUUGUACUUUUUUAAUGAAGAACUACACCACCAUAUUUAUGACAACGCCUCCUUUUUUUUUUCUUUUCCAUUUAGUGACCUCGUUCCACUUGCCAACUGCAUUGGUACUAAAGUUAACUAUUAAAAUUCUGAAAAUUUCACACUAAAUGGCGCCAGUAUUUUGUUUUCUUUUUUGUAUUCUUUUUCUUCAUAGCUGUCAUUUUCAUACUCAUAUUCGGGGAACUUCUCAAUGUGCACACCUUGGACUUCAUUUUCUUCAGUUUGUUUGGAUUGGACUUCAUCUUCUUCAGCAUGUACCAUAGCAGCAACUUGUUGGACUACCUCUGAUGCAACACUAUCAUAGGAAUCUUCCACUACCUCCAUUGUAAUGUCAAAAUCGUAUGAAUCUUGGGCUACCUCCAUUUGUGCCGUAGUACUAAUAUGGUUCUGAUAGUAUCAAUAACUUCUCAUUUUAUACUACUCCUACCAAACUAGAGUAAGGUUAUCAAGAGUCACUAGGGAGUAAUUGUUACGGAUGCAUACAACCAAAGAGAGAAUUAAACUCUUUUCUCUUCCCGGUGUUGUUUAAUAAGAUAAUGUGAAAAGUCAAUUUAUUGUAAUUUUAGAAUUAGUAGUAGUAUUAAAUAAGGGUAUAUAUGGAAAAAAUAAUUAAUGCGUGUUGUAAUUUGAAAAGGGUUUACAUUUAGGACAAAAAUAAAAACAAAAUGUGGUUACAUAUAGGGAUGGAGGGAGUAAACUCUAGCAAAAAAAGUGUGAUUGCGAUUAAUUCUAAAAAGUGCGAUUGCGAUUAAUUGAAAAUCGCAGAAGCUCUCACAAACUGACUUACUGCGAUUAAACGAUUGCGAUUGCGGUUAAUUGAAAAGUCAUGCGAUUGAAAUUCUUCAAGUUGCGAUUGCCUUAAGAAUACAAACGUGUUGCGUCUAUCACUUCUGUGUUGCUUUAAGUGCUUCUUCUUCCUUCUUCCCAACAUGCGAUUUGCAGUUGCGACGGGUUCUAUUGAAAAGAAAUUGAAUUAACAAACACAGCUAGUUUUGCGAUUGGUUACUCACGAUUUGCAAUUGCUUCUGCGAUUUGUGCGAUUCAACUACCUGAGUUUUCAUUACUGUAAGUCACUGCUUUACAUUCCAACUUCGAGUUGGACUCAGCUACUCUAGUGCAGCGCUAUCGUCUCUAGGCCAUGGUGAUUCAGAAUUUUAUGCUAUUGUUUCUAGUAUUAUAUUUCAGUUAUCUUUACAUUCCACCAACUUUGAGGUGAAGUUUGUUAGGAGAGAAGCGAACAUGGUUGCUCAUAGCUUAGCUAGGGCGGUCUGUUCUUGGGCUAGUCACUGUAUUUUUGAUUCAUAUCCUUCUUCUAUUGAUUAAUGAUAAUAGUUAACUUUGCUUUGGUAAAAAAACAAAAAAAACUAAACUCUGCUUAAUACAUAAAACCAAUUUUUGUUAUAAAACUAAUUUUGCAGGAAAUUAGGAACAAUGUAUAAAACCAACGCAUAGUAACAUUUUUGUAUUAUGUACAUUUGCUAUUGACAUCUUUUCUUAAUUUAUCGUCAAUAUUCCUAUGUGACCUCCAGUAUGGAGGAUGCAGAAAGCUCAAAGAUAAAUUUAAGAUAGGCUCUGAUACCAUAUCAAAAUUUAGGAUACGGUCUAACUCAACCUUACAAAAUCGGAUUGUACGGUGAGGAGUGUUUCCUCUUUAUAAACUCUUCUCAAGAAUCCUAUCUAUCUGAUGUGGUACUAAUCCCACCGAGUGUUGGAACAUCAAAUACAUUAGCCAAUGAUGCCUCCAUAUUGGAAUGACACCAUUUGAUAUAUUUUUAUGUCCAAUAAUAAUUUUUCUUUGUCUUAUUUUUUAGGCUUAAGUGCAGUUUUUCCCCCUUAAGUUUCAAAAAGUUGCAAUUUUGACCUCUUAUUUAAUAAAAUGACAAAUUUAAUCCCUUAUGUUUUAACCCCUUUACAAUAGUAGUCCUUUUGUUCAAUUUUGACUUUGUCAAUGCUUACAUGUCAUGCCACGUGUGCAAUAAUUAAAUUAAAAGAUUAAAAAAUACCACAUAAUUAUUUUUUAAAUUAAAUAAAUUAAAAAAGAAAAUGAAAAAUUAAAAGUAUCAAAAAAAUUGAAAAAAAAAUAGAAAAGGAAAAGAAAAAAGAAGAAAAAAAACGUGAAUUCAUAGAACAACAACAAUUUCAGCAAGGUUCCAUUAUUCUUCAAUUUAUUUCCUUCUUCAUUAUCUAAUCUAACUUAUUCCUAAUCGUAGUUAACACUCCAAACCCUAAUUCUACUUUUUUAGGCGCCAAACAAUCCUAGCCCUUGGAUCUACACCUUUGGGCGCCACUUAUUUAUCAGCCAUAGAUCUGAUCUUGCUGCUGGCUGGCACAAAUCACAAUUCAAAUUCAAGUUUACGGUGCAUUGUAAAUUGACAAAUAGUUAAUGUUAUCGGUUUUGAAUACAGUGUUGCAUAUCCAUUUCAUUGGGAAACAAUGGCUCUGACCUAACCCUCCUUUCUCUCCAUCUCUCUACGAUUCCUCGUCUUCUUCAAAAACACACAAAAUCCCUUCUUCUUCUUCUUCUGCCUUCAUUUCGACCCUCUAAAGUAAAUGCAUCAUCGUUGACCACCACUGCGUCGGAAUAUGCUCUUAACCGCGCCGGAGUUGAACCACCGUUGUUAAUCACCGCGUCGGAUUCGCUCUUUAUCGCACCAGUGUCGCUGUUAGAAGCUUCUCCACCGUUCAAUUUUUAAUUCCGCAACUUCACCCGUAAUCGCUGCGAUAAAGAUUGAGAGCUAAAAAAGAAUCCCGCAUCAAACAAAGUUAAGGUAAUGAUUAAUGAUUCGUUAUACUUUGCUUGCUAUAGAUACAUAGAUGAAUAAAUUUGGUGGCUUGCCUUCAUUUGAUUUUGCUUGCUGUUGAAAUUGGGUUUUCAAGGUGUAGUUUUGAACCAAUCAAUUUGCUCGAUUCAUCAUUUGUUAAUUUUUGUUUUUAAUUUUUUUUAGCUUCAGUUCAAAAUAGUUGAAGAACUUAACGGGGUUGUGAGUUUUUGUUUUAUAUAAUUUCUAAUAUGCGAUUAUGUCUUUUUUGCAUGUUUGUUCAUGAUGUUUAACUCUGUAUUUCCCUUUUUUGUUACUUAUGUAGGUUGUUUUGGUUUUUGUUCUAAUCAUGGAAAAUCAUUUGAGUUUAGUGUUACAAAGUGAGCUUGAAAAUCUAUACAAAGAUGCUAUGAGAACAUUGAGUUCACUUGCUUUUUGAAUCUUCUUAGAGUUUGGUGUUCUAUGUUAAAAAAAAUUAAAACCACUACCAUAGGAUGAAGCAAUAGUUUUAGAAUCAAAUGUUGAUUGACAGGAAGAUAUAUUUAUUGUCGAAGAUGUCUAACUUGCUGCCCCUGUGUUUGUUGUUAUGUUAUAUUACUUUAUUAGAUUCUAUGAUCGAUUAUUUCCUUCAUUCUUUAUGGUUAAAUCUGCAAUUUUUGUUUGAGGAUUCCAAAAUAUCAUGUUUGCUCCUAUGCACAAUAAGAAUUCUGCUAAUUGAAUUUGCUAGAUAAUUAUCAACUAGCUCAUGUAGUUCUGCAUUUAAAAAGUAAUAGGGCAUUCUGAAGCAGCAAUUAGCCAACAUACUGGUGUUUGCAUAUAUUUUUAGUUCAUUUGUAAGUGUUAUCUUACUAUUGCUUCCUUUUCUCUCCAAACAGAUUUUGCUCCAACAGAAAAUAAAGAUGUUAUGUCAGUUCUAUUAAUGAUUUUUCCGAAGUAAUAUUUUGAUUUUUGGAAGACUUAAAAUGACAUCCAUCCAAGCUUGAGUGAUUCAUCAAAUGGAUGAACAACAAAGCAUCAUGAACAACUUUCUUGAUAUAUUAACUGAUGGUGUUCAUUCCUUGAAGCAGGAAAACAACAAAGGCUAUGAAAGGUGACUUUUUAUGAUCUAUAUGAAAUACUGCAUGUUUGCUGCUAUAUUAAUUUUGAAGAAUUAAAGUGCUGCUAUAUUAAUUUUGACUAAGUCAAAUCAACCAAAGUGUUGAUAUAGUAUUAUAUAGUACAAAGAAGGAAUACUCUAAAAAAAUAUAAUUAUGCACAUGUAUGUCACUUUGUGUAGCUAAAACCAUUUUCAUUAUAUACGUCGACCAUGCUUUGCUGUCAAAGUUUAUAAAUGAAAUCUAUAUGUGGUCAUAUUAAGCCUAAUGCUAGUAUCAAUGUCACUUAAGUGAAGGAGGUGUGCACUGCUACCGUAAUGCUUAUCUUUUCCAUCUCAUGAAUUCUAAUGAUCAAAUUUAGUAUAUGCAAAGGCUAUAUUACUCUGCAUGAUCAUAUUAGCAAAAUGCUUGAUAGAAAAGACUGAACCCAAUAAGAUAAAUAUUUUGAAAUAGUCUUGGUAUAUGUAGCAUAGUGAUUGUUUUAAUUAUGCUUGAAAAUUGCAAGACUUAACACUUGGAAUAGGCAACCAAGAUCCUAUCUUCAAGCAAUACAGCUUGCCAAAGGGUGAGGUUGGUUACCCCAAUGGAAUAUUUAACCCUUUGCACCAACUUUGGAGGCUAAAGAGAAGGAAAUUUCUAACGUUAUAUUUGCAAUGUUGGCAUUCUUGGGAUUUAUCAGUCAGCACAGUGUCACAGGAAAAGGACGAUUUGAUAACCUCUUGCAGCACCUUUCAGACCCAUGGCACAACACCAUUGUUCAAACACUGAGUGGCGGCAACUAAAAUGUUUGUUGUAUCUAAUGAUAUGAAAGCCUAUGUUAUUCUAAUGUAAUCAUGAAUGGAUGAAUUUUGAAAGAUAUCUGAGCAUGAUUGUUAAGAUCCUUAAUUUAUUUCCAUGUACAGAGGAACUAAGUGGGUUUUUUAAAUAAAAAAAAUAGGCGUAGGUGUACCUUAGUGGUUAUGGAACUCUUUUGCAAGCCAUCCAUUUAAUAUAUGACAAUUCCCGUUCUUUGAGUGAAAUCAGAUUCUACAUAUAUUUGAGUUUUAUAUGCAUGUGGUCUUGGUUUAAUUUUGAUGUCUUGACUUUACUAUAUACACAAUUUAUGUGAUCUUUUGGAUUAUACCAAUUUGAGUUUUAAAUUUAUUACUAACAAGAUUCAUAAAUUGACAAAAAAAGUAAUUGUUUACCUCUUAUAAAUAGAACAAAAAAUUGUAACAAGAAAGAUUAAUCGUUAAAAAACAAUAGCGCUUCAACUAUAAUAGACAUUUGCGAUUGAACGGAUGACAAUGGAGAUUAUUUCAACACCACUUUAAAUGUAGUGUAUAAAGAGAUAUUUCAAAAUGUGUGAAUAAUUGUUGUAUGUCCUAAAAUAUUGAUUAUGUUGAAUUGUUUUCUUAUCUAUAUAAUAGAUCAUAUUGUAAUAUGUUAGCUUUUCCAUUGUUUAUGACCCGGGCGGUAGCACGGGUAAAAGUCCGCCCGGAUAAAAGUUCUAGUCAAUUCCAACCCCAAUUGCGGUACAACAACAUCGACAACUUUUUUUCUUCUUCUUUACUAAGAUUACUAAGAUUGUGAUUACUAAGAUUUAUUUGGAUAAGGAUAGGAAAAGCUUGUUGUGCUGCCGCUGAUAAGGAGGGUACCAAGUUUGCUCCUGAAGACAUUAUGCAAAACGUUGAUUAGUUUAAUUAUAUUAUUACUUUUGGUUGUAUUGUUACUAGAACUUGAUUUUCUUGGUGAUUUGAAUGUUUUGUGAUUAAGAUCUGAAUUAUUUUCAGAAUUUUGGGAAGUUUAUGUUUUGUUAAAAAAUAAAAAUGAGGGAGAUGAUUGUUGGGUUUGAUGAAGUAACUGGGUUAAUAAGAUGAAGAAGAAGGAGAUUGAUGAAUAUGCACUCUAGAGAGAAAGAAGGUUCGAAAGAAUCAUGGAAAGAAGAAGAUGAAUAACGUUUUUUUUUUCCUUUUCUAAUUUUUUUUUUUCUGAUUUUUUUUUAAUUUCUCAAUUUCUUUUUUAAUUUAUUUAAUUUAAAAAUGAUUAUAUGGUUUUUUAAUUUUUUAAUUUAAUAAUUACACACGUGUCACCCAUUUAAGCGUUGACCAAGUCAAAAUUGGACAAAAAGACCACUAUUGCAAAGGGGCUAAAACAUAAGGGACUAAAUUUGCAAUUUUGUUUAAUAAAGGGCCAAAAUUGUAACUUUUUAAAACUUAAGGGGGGAAAAGUGCACUUUAGCCUAUUUUUUAUUGUUAACUUUACGGUCAUAAAGGUUGGAAAAAGAAAGGAUGAGUUGAGCGCAGCAUCAAAAUGGAUGGAGAGACAAGUUGAUGAUACUCCUCCGUCUCUAAAUAAUAAUCGUUUAAGGUUUUUGCACAAUUAUUAAGGAAAUGAUUAAUUGUGUUGAUUUUGAUGAUGAAAUUAGUAUCAUUUACUAAAACAUCAUUAUUAAUUGUAAUUCUUUAUCUUCUUAUAUAUUAAAGUUAACAUGUAAGCCCUAAUUUUAACCUAAACCCUAUUGCAUAAUUUUACUGUUUUAACCCUAAUGGUCACACCUAAUCUCCUAUUUUCAUGAACAACCCUAAUGCUCGCACCUAAUCUUCUUAUAUAUUAAAGUUAACCCGUAAGCCCUAAUUUUAACCCUAAUCUAUAUAAACAGGUGGAAGAAACAUUUCAACAAACAGUUAAAGGGUAUCAUUUACGGUAAAGGCCAAAUAUUUGAUAAAAGAAAAAUUAUUUAAAUAAAACAUUUUACAUNNNNNNNNNNNNNNNNNNNNNNNNNNNNNNNNNNNNNNNNNNNNNNNNNNNNNNNNNNNNNNNNNNNNNNNNNNNNNNNNNNNNNNNNNNNNNNNNNNNNAAGGAAUGUGAUGCCCUUGCGGGGAUACAAUGACUGCCCCAAUUCCUUUGCCAUAAGCAUUGACAGCACCAUCAAAGACUAAACCCCACUUGCUAUUGGGAUCUGGACCUUCAUUAAUCAACGGUUCGUCGCAGUCUUUGGAUUUCAAAUACAUGAUCUCUUCAUCAGGGAAAUCGAAUUCAAUUGGUUGGUAAUCAUCAAGAGGUUGAUAAGCAAGGUGAUCGGCAAGAAUGCUGCCUUUGAUUGCCUUUUGAGUUUUGAACACAAUAUCAUAUUCAGACAAAAGCAUCUGCCAGCGUGCAAUCUUCCCAGUAACGGCCGCUUUCUCAAAGAUAUACUUUAUCGGAUCCAUUCUGGAUAUCAACCAAGUUGUAUGAUUCACCAAAUAAUGACGCAGGCGUUUGGCAGCCCAAGCUAGAGCACAACAAGUCUUCUCAAGCAUUGUAUACCGAGUUUCACAGUCGGUGAACUUCUUGCUUAGAUAGUAGAUAGCAUGCUCUUUCUUUCCGGUUUCAUCUUGUUGACCAAGCACACAUCCCAUGGAUUCAUCAAAUACUGCCAAAUACAUAAUCAAAGGCCUUCCUUCCACGGGUGGGACAAGGAUAGGUGGUUCCAGCAGGUAAUUCUUGAUGCUAUCAAAAGCUUCCUGGCAUUCAUCGUUCCAUACAAUAGGCUGAUUCUUGCUCAAGCAAUCGAGUGAUCUCAUAUGGUAUAUCAUCAUCCUCUUCAUCUUCGGCUUCAUACACAGGGAAUUCAAAAUUUGGAGGAACCGUAGGAUUACUGUGUUCAACGGGUUUAUUAUGGUUCAAACUGCAUAGAAUGGUUGAAUGAUUUUAGAAAAUGUUUUUUUUUUCUUUUAUGCAGUUCUUUGAAAUUGAUAAGAAAAAUAAAGAUGUUUUGGUUUUUUCUGGUAUUACCAUUAUUUCCAAGAAAAAAAGAAAAAAAAAAUCACUAAAAAAUAAAAGUCGUGAAAGAAACGACGAUUUUUGUUAAUAACGGCGAUGCCGAAACAAACACGCCCUUCCAGAAAUAUCACUUUCGCUUCGGGCAGAGCGAGAGGAUGGUUAUUUUGAAAAACAAAACACUUAAGCAACAAGACACAUUAUUCGGAAACAUGCAUGAUUGAAUGAAUGUUGAUGGCAUCACAAUUUCUCGCAAUGCCUCCUGGUAUAACAAACAUAGGCCUAGGACUACAUCCAGUCGCCUCUUCAGUAAUUGCAUUGAUAAACUCAGCACUGUUGAAGAUUCAUGUGGCAUUGUACUUGUAAGGAAUAGCCUUUGUAGAAGUAUAAGGUACUGGUCCGGGCAGCCUUAUCACUUAGAGGCUCAACAUUCUCUUUUGAAGGCACGCUCUUGACGGGCGGAUCAUGAAAGACUGGCACAAUCACACAGACAUCACUGACAGUCAGAAGAUUAUCAUCCAUCAGGCUUUGGAUGUCGUCUUGAACAGUAUAGCAGCCCAAAGGAUCACAGAGGCAUCCUAGACACUUGGCAUGAUCAUGGCUGAACAGAGAGGCUUUGCAUAGCUUGAUAUGCAGAGGCACCAGAGGAGUGGCAACAUUGUGGACAUCAAGUCUAGGAGCUUCCUCACACACUUCGAUCAUAUUCACAGCGGCAUGAUUUGGAAGAGGAUUGUCAAGGACAUGUGGAACAUUAUUCUCAAAAGUCAGCUUUCCCUGAUCAAUGAGCUUCUUCACGAUAUACUUCAAAGCAUAACAUCCCUCGACAUCAUGACCUAAGGCACCUUGAUGAAAGUCACAUUUGAGAUCAGACCUGAACCUUGGAGGCAACGGAUCAGGUGGGGGCUUACCCUGUCUAGUUGUACAAUGUCCUCUCUGGAGUAGAGUUGGAAGAAGUUCUGCAUACAACAUCGGUAUAGGAGGAAAAGUUGGUCUAGUAUACUGCUGCUGUUGUUGUUGUUGUUGUUGUUGUUGUUGUUGAACCGGCAACUGUUGUUUCAUCUGUUGGGCAAUUGCAUUGACGGGCACUUGAGGCUGGCCCGGUGGCAAAGGGUACUGAUGAUAAAACGGUGGGAAGAACGGAUGUUGAGAAUACGGCAUAUAUGGGUAUGACGGAGGCAUUUGAGCUGCAUUGAUAGGAGCAACGGUAGCCAUAGAUUGACCGGCUCCAGCUGACACCAUCCCCACUUCCGUUUCUUUCUUCUUGUGGUGUCCAUUACCAUAUCUCUUCGAUGCACUCGUAGAAGAUUCAGCUUUCUCAAACACAAUGAUCCCAUCCCUGACUGCUUCCUCAAGACGGGUUCCCAUAGUGACCAUCUCCGAAAAGUUGUUCGGGGCGGCGAUGAUCAUCCUCUCAACAUAAUCUUUCUUCAAGGUCUUUAAGAAUGUCUGGGUCAUUUCUUCUUCAUCUAAAGCAGGAGUGAUACGGGCAGCUGCCCCUCUCCAUCUUUGUGCAUAUUCCCGGAAACUUUCCUCCUUUUUCUGAGAUAGGGACCUGAGGAACUCCCUAUUCGGCUUCAAACGAGUGUUAAACCCGUAGUGGCUCCUGAAAGCGGUGGCCAGCUCAUCAAAAGUAUGGACAUCGUCUUUGCUCAGACUAGUAUACCACUCUGCAGCAUCUUCCAUCAGACUGUCUUGGAAGUAAUGGAUCAUAAGGGAAUCAUUGUCCUUGUAGUUGCCCAUCUUCCGGACAUAUUUGACAAUAUGAUUUUGAGGACAAGUCAGCCCGUUAUAUUUGUCGAACUCCGGGACUUUGAACUUUUUUGGAACAUCUACCUUCGAUACUAAGCAGAGAUCCUGGGUUUUAAUGGAGUCUCCAUUUCCCCUAUUGGCCUUAAUUUCCCGUCGGAGCUCUUUGGCAAGUUCUUCCAUUCUCUCUUCCAUAGUUUCGGUUGCGGCAAUACUCCCGUGGUGUGCAUUAGCAUGGACAAAUAGAGGCACCGCAUUCACAAUGGGCUCGGUAACAGUUGUUGCAGCUUGAGUCAAGGCGGUACUAAUAGGAGUUAAGUUUGCCCCUGGGAUUGGGCCAUUGUUGGUAGUACCAGAGGUCCCUGCCCCUGUAUUAGCAGUAUAGUACAGCGGAAGCCCGUAAGGAUACCCGGAUGGCAUGAUAGAGCGGGGAUCAGUUGUUACAGUAGGAGUCACAUUUGCAGCUGUAGAAACUACAGGAACUGGUUGUUCCUGAGCAGCCAACAGAGCAGUCAUAGCAUCAUGAGCUUUGGCCAAUUCCUCCCUUAGAGAUGCCAAUUCGGUACGAAGCUGUGUGUUCUCUUCUUCCAUAGCCUUUUUCCUUCUUCUGUACUCUCUGGUUCGAUCGAUUCUAUCAGGUUCGUAGACCUUCUGAGCACGAGCCACUUUUCAAACUGUGGCAGAGGAACCAGGAAGUAGUGAGCAAUUGGAAGCCUUUGUGACCGAUGUAUGAUGCAUAUGAUGCAUGAUAUGCAGAUGCAAAUGCAAAAACGACUCUUUUUAAUGUCAUCGAAGGACUUUUUAAACAAAUUCGAAACAUUGUAAACACUGUUAAACAAGCAAAAUAAGGUUUUACAAUGGUAAACUUAUGAAUACAAGUUCACACCUGCGGUGUCUUACAAUGUUUCGAUCUGUCUAAAAAAAUCUUCGAUGUAUGCGUGAAAAAAAACUUAUGCAUGUAUGCAUGGUUGUUUUGUUUAGUUACAAAGAACAAGGUGGGUUGAGAUUCAAAGUAACAGGGCCACGGAUGGACACGGCGUCCGGUGAACUAAGGCUUUGGAUAGUAGUAACCAAGGUUCUAACACAGUUCCCAAACUGCAACCUCUCUCACAUAUAUCAUGGUAGUACAGGACGACACCCGUUCCAUGAUUAUUUGUGAGAAGGUCUAGUUUGAGUGUAGUAUCGCGUGACGACUAAAGUUUGAGACAACACUCAAUUUAGCCACCGCACUACGUCCUAAAAAGGCUAGGAUGGGUUUGGUAACUACGGUUCAUAGCUUCGUCGAACAAUUGAAAGUGAAGUGCCUAAGCAUGACAACACACGCCGACAAUAUCACCUUCAAAAUGCCUCAGCUAUGUGAGAUUGAUCGCAUAAUCCAAUACACGAGGCAACCCCCGGAUCGAAUUGUCGAUUAUAUCUCUACCUAAACAUAAGUUCACUCAGCCCGGGUAUAGGACUUUUGAUAUUCUCACCCCACACGUCAAAUGAAAAUAAACAAGUAUUCACAUAUGUAAGCAAUAAAACAAAGCGUAAAUAUAAACUAAGGAAAACUAGGCGCGACCCGCUAAAAAGAAUCCCCAGUGAAGUCGCCAUUUCUGUUAUCAUGGUUUUUGGGUGCCAAGCCAUUAAUUGGACUUGUACCUUUCGACCGUUGAUAUCUCUCUUUUUUCUUGGGAAGGGUAAAAGGAGAAAAACCCUUGAGUUUCCGAAUUCGGGGGUCGGUUUUACCACGGGAAGGUGUUAGGCACCCGGAGUAACUAUAGUCCUCUAUAGGAGCCGUUUUCCUAAGUCUAUAUUCACGCUUAUUUUUACUUACUUUUGAAAAUGGGAGGUUUAUUUAGUUAAGAAUGGGGGGAGAGAAGUUGUAAGACUUUUUAUCUUUUAGUUGAUUUGAAGAAAAUUUUAAUGUGUUGCUAUUUGAUUUUUUAAAGUUUGAAAAUGAUUUUUUGAAGAAGAGAAAGGAGGCCUUAAAGGCUUGAGAAGUAAAAAAUGUGAAGUUUGUCCAAUUUUACUUAAUAAAAUAGUCUAAGUCAUUUAAGGUUCAUUUAGAAUUUUCUUAAGAAAGUAAAAGGAAACACCAAAGGAGUUUUGACUCCAAAGUUCAUUUUAAAGAAAAAGAGCUAGAAUUAUGGAACUUGGUUUGCUUUGCGAAAAAAUAUUUUCUAAGUACUCGCGUUACCUAAUCAUACAUCUAAACGAAUGUCAUACACCGUGUGUGAGUGUCGGUGCUCGUGCCGGUGUACAUCAAUAGAGUCCAUAGUCCCUUUUACAUUGUCCUAGAUACAUUCUAUGGUCUUUGCAUGAAAUAUAAAAGAUAACACCUACCUAAAUAUUACAAUUCCAAAUAAAAGUAAAAAAAAUGGAUGCAAAGAAACUAAACUAUGUAAAAGAAUGGAAAUGGAAUGCUAAAUGAUAUGUAUGAAGUACCAAAGUAAACUUGUUAGUAAAAAAAAACAUAACAAGUACUAAGAAAUAAAAGCAUGCAAGAUGGCACAAAAAGUUAUCAAAAUGACAUUAAACCCUAAAAACUUAGGUAUGAAACCUAAAGCAUUCUUGGCCUCUAAUUCUCAUGCUUUAACAAAUUUUGAAAGAGUUUUCUUUAUCUCAAGUUAUAGCAUGGAAUUAUUGGAAACAUGCAAACAUGGUUUCAUGCCAUAUUUUCUAGAAUAAACUUGGCAUUUUAUAUCUUUCAAAAUAUGCAUAUAUUGUUCAUAAAAUUAAGAACUUAUGAACCAAAUCAAAACAGCAAAUCAACAUGAAAUUAUAGGCACAAAUCUCUCAUAUUAACACAUCAAGUAGCUUUUAUUACAUAUUCUCACAUUAAGGACAAAUGUGUGAAGAAGAAUUCAUAACAAAUAAUUCAAAGAGAAUUAAAAUGCUAUGAAUUAAUUAUACCAAAAUUUCAUAGAUCCUUAAUGUGCAAAAAUGUCAUAAAAACACUAAGAAAAUAUCAAGAAACAUGUAUGAAUUUUUCUAGGAAUUUUAUCACAAUUUUAAUCAAGACAUAGGUGCAGGUAGCAAAAAAAUAGGGGUGUGAACAGCAAGAAAAAAAGCAAGAAAUGUGCAGAAAAUUAAGCCCAAACCCAAAGCCCAACACCAAAACUCAGAUUGCACAGGAACCACACGAUUGAUCCAGGGUCCUGAAACCCUAGAUCAAACGGCCAGGAACCAAGGGGGGGUUGGACCGGUCCUGAACCGGUCCGGUUCACUGGCUUUAUAAGGGAGGGAAACCGGUUUUUUUUAUAAUUCUUCUUCUCCUUCUCUCUCUUCUCUCAUUCUAGUGAGAGAAGCUCUCACUUCUCUCUUCCUCACCGCGCCGGAUUCUGGAAAAACAGGAGAUGAUCUUCAUCUUCUCCGGCGGAGUUUGUUCCUCCGGCGUGGUGGCCGGCCACCCAAGGGUGGCGGCGCCGCCGCCGGAGUUGAGCAAACUCCUCCGAUUUUGAAAAUUUUUACAUUUUUAGAUAUCCUUUUUCGUGCUAUUCAUGAAUCCAAACUUAGUUUUUUGAGAAAAAGUCCCAAUCGGAGUAGAUCUAGCUUCAAAGAUUCGGAAAUUUGAAUUUUAAAGAGGAAGAAAGAGGAAGAGGAAUUGUCACCUAUUUGUGGUGUGUUGUAGAGCAAGGGAGAGAGCUUUGCUUUCUUCCGAAUCCGGAAUAUUCCUUCCUUCCUUCUCUUCUCUUUCACGUGUCUCUUUGACCGAUUUUGUGCUUGUUGUUUGGUGAUGUUCUUGGCGCGGAUUUGUGGAUUUUUGUGAUUCUUGGUACGGAUUUGGUUCGGAUUCGGUUUUGUGGCUUUUUGGUACGGAUUUGUUGCUUUUUGGGUACGAAUUUGUUGCUGGAUUUUGGUACGAAUUUGUUGCUGGAUUUUGGUACGAAUUUGUUGCUUUGUUGAUUUUUCUUCUUCCCCUCUCUCUGUGAUCGUGCUUGAAUUCGCCGCUUCCGGUGGCGGAUUCGCACUUGAAUUGUGGAGCAGAGGCGAUUCGAUGAUGAAGAUUCGCAAAGAAUCUCUGAGAAUCACCCAAAAAAAGGAUGAAUUUGAUGAAUCUGUGAUGAUUUUCGGUUAGGGUUUAUGUGUGUGUUCUUGAUGAUUUUCUGUUUUGAUUUGUAACUGAAUAGAGAGAGAAGAAAAAAUCUGUUUGUGAUGUGUCACUGUGUGAAUGGAAUCCUCCUAAAAAAUCUGACACUUCGUUUCCCCUUUUAUAUGCUGCCAUGUGUACCUGAACCAAUAAAAAAGUGACAUCUGGACUGGACUAAAAUUUGUGCGAAAAUUUGGACCAAAAUGCCCUUUGGGGCGUUUCUGCAGAAAAAAAUGAUAAUAAAAGGACUGAAAUGCAAUUCUUAGAAACUUUUGGACUGAAAUGUAAUUUUGGGACCUCAAUUGAGGGACCAAAAUGCAAUAAAAAAUAAAAUUGAAUAAAAAACGCAAUUUGAUCGAACGUAAAGCGAAACAAAAAUAAAAUUGACAAAACGGACUUAAAACGAACCAAUGGCCUAAAUGAGGUACUUCAAAGUAACCUCCCUAUGUCAAAAUUUCGUGUGAAAUGACCAAAAUGCCCCUAGGGCUAAAAAUGACCUAAACUGACUCAAACAGACUUGACACUGACUCGGACGCAAGUUUGAAAUGAAUUUAAACAGGGUUUACUGAUGAAAUGUUAAAAAUGAAUUUGAAAAGACUCAGAGACAGUCACAAGGAUGAAAAUGGGUCCCACUGCAGGAAAUGACCAAAAUACCCUUCUGCAUGACUUUUUGCAAAUUUUGAAAUAAACUGUAGAAAAAGCAAUGUAAUGAUUCAGAGACACCUUUGAAUGACUUUCAAGACAAGUAAAGACAUUUUGAAAGGUUUUAUGCAAAAAAACAUAGGUAAAAUUGUGAUUGAAAAAAAACUGCGAGACAGAGACAAUUUGAACUGUGCAGUUGACAUUUGAUAAUUGACAAAGUUUGAAAUGAAAUUGGGCCCAGUAUUUUUAGGUCCAAAAACAGGGUAUAACACUAAUUGUUCAUAACAUGUGCCAAAAUUUAUGAAGAAAAACAUGGCAAGAAAUUCACAAAAUUAGGCCAAAAAGAACCAAUUAAUCAAGAAAAUAACACCUACAUUUUUAUCAUCUUUAAACAGGUAGCAAUAUCACACAAAAUGUCAAAAGAUACAACAAAAAACAUAUAGAAUUUUUAGGAAAUUUUUAGAACAAAUAGAGGCGUAUAUAGCAGGAAAAUAAGGUGCAAAUAGCAAAGAAAAGGCAAAAAAACAAAAGAAACUGUAAGAUAAAGCCCAAGCCCGAAACCUAAAGGCCUGGAAGCACAGGGAUGCCAUGCUUAAUUUCUGAGUCAAUAACCGAGUGGAACAAAAGUGACUUAUAUGUAUAUGCAUCAUACAAGUAAUAAAGCAUAUCCAGGAAAUUGGGAGAGUGAAAGAGGAAUAUCAUAAGCUUAACUUCGAAGUUAAUGUCAAGGUGUAACAAAAUUGGUUUCUCUAUGAUUAGCAUUUUUACUUAGAGAAAAAAAGACAGGGGAUGUCAACCAUUCAUGAGGAAAGUAAUGGUAGACAUUACGCAAAACCAAAUUUUAUCACAUUUUACAAAGUAAAAUAAUAGGGAUUGUUAUGCCAAAUUUUUGCGUGGAAAUAAUAUUCACAGCAUGCCAUGUACUCCCUUUCAUUGAUGACCGUGUUCUUUUUAGUUGAUUUUUGUUUAAAAGUGACUUGAACAAAGUGUGGCUGGCCAUUUAUAAAUGGAUUAUUGCUAGUCAUUGUGUUUAAAUAGAUGACUAGCAGGAGUUGGCUACAGAAGUUGCAGCCACAUUUAAAUUUAUUAGAAGGCAACUAAGAAACAAGAAGAUUAGAGAUAUUGGGAGACCUCAAGAUUUUAGACUACAUGCAAAAUAAGUACCUGUUUCCAAUGUCAUGCAUCAAAAGGUUUCUCUAAGCAUUGCAUUGAAAAUUAUCAAAUCAAGAAGCUUAAAGAACCAAGAGAAAGAGUUAUAUGGUCCAUCCUUAUAGAUAAAAAAAUGUAGAUAUUUAGAGUUUUGUUAAUAUGGAAAAAAGGCCAAAUUUAGAAAUGUUAUUUAUUUUGGUAUAUCCUUGGUCUCUCUUUCCUCUUUAUGCUAUCAAUUAGUUCAUGUAAUUUUUUUGGUUCAAUUCAUUGAUGUGAUCUAAAUAGCUCAAUAUAGCUUUUUAUAAAAUGUCCACUCACGAAGCAUAGCUUACAAUAAAAUGUUCAAGUAGUAUACACAAAGAAACAAAUAAAAAUAUAUACACGAGUUAGCGCAGUAGAAAAAGCGUGCCCGUCUGGACGCUAGUAAUAAUGAAAAAUAAUAAUAAAUGAUGCAUUGGUAUUCUAAAGUGACAAUUAUUUUGAGAAAAAGAAAAAUGAGUAAAAAGAAAAUUAUUGUGAGACGGAUGGAGUAUUUAGAAAUUUAAACCUCAAAAUUCGAACAGCUUAAUAGCUAAUGCUACAAAAACUCGAAUAAAUACUCCCUCCGUCUCACAAUAUUAGUUCGCUUUUGUGCACGAUUAUUAAAGAAAUGAUUAAUUGUGUUGAUUUUAGUUGUAAAAUUAAUUGCAUUUACUAAAACACCCUUACUAAAACACCCUUAUUAAUUGUGAAAUUCAAUAAAUAAGGGUAUAAUAGUGGAAAAAAAACUAAUAAAUGUUACAUUGGUAUUGUAAAGUGACAAUUAUUCUGAGGAAAAAGAAAAAUUGUCAAAGAGAUAAUAAUUGUGAGACGGAUGGAGUAUAUGUUAACCUAGUGAGUUAACUAGAGCAAUAAAAGAGCUUAAUAUUAUCUGUCACUUUUUUCUCAAAUUCUCAUUCAAUUAUUAGUAGGACCCUGCGCUUUAUUUGGCUUUGCACUUUUACCAGCCAGUUCCUAUCUUCUGGAAACCAACGUGAAUGCCUUGAAAAUCAAAAGUAUUUUCUGAUAUUUUAAUCUCAUCUACCAAUUUGACAUUUUUCCAGCUGUCAUUCAUAGUCAAAAUUGGAAUCUAAUAAAUGUUGUAGUCUAUACAGAGUAACUUGAUACCUAUAUUUGGAGUUUGAUUUACCUUUUGUAGAUUCUUCAUUAAGUUUUAAUGAUAAAUAAUUAGUGUUAGGACCAAAAUUAAAACCGGAUAAAACUAAACAAUACAAAAAAUAUAAACCAUUAAAGAGGGGGAUACGGUUCUUUGCUCCCUAUUAAAUAUCGUUGAAACAAUAUUUAAUAAAAUCAGAGAAUCAAUAAUCAUUGAACAAGAAAAUUCAGGUUGAUAGCUAUGGCUACUCCUUUCUGCAAGACACAAGCAUUCAAAUAGAUAUGAUAAGUAACACAAUAUACAGUUACGCUCCAACAGAGAAGAUUGCUAUUGAUUACUCGACAAAAUGAUUGUGUAUCAUGCCAAAACUAAGCAUUAACCUCACCGUAAACCUCGUACGUCCUUAUCAUUUAUACAGCAUGCUUCAAUUGCAAUCACGUUAAACCUCAUUCGUAAAAGUUAAAAAUGUAUACAAGCAUUAAAUUAUCCAUACGUUUAUAGGUUAGACAGAAAGCAUGUGACGUAAGUCAAGAGAGAUAUAGCAUUUAAUACUUCAAUGCCCUCAUCACAUCCAGAAGUUGGAUCUAUACCCAUUUCGAGCUGAUUACCUCAUGGUGGAAGUUGAAACUUCCAGCCAGUAGAUCUCUAGUUAGUGAGUUGCGACAAUUUGUUAUAUUCAUUAAUCAUCUACUACACGUAAUUAACCAUAUAUUUUGUUGUGUCAAAAUAAUACAAGGAAGACAGACCCAAGCAAUUAACAUGCAUAUCUGUCAAAUAUGGAAAGGAAAAAAAAUUUAAUACUAAGAACCAGCAGUGACAUCAGACUCUUAACUCUGGAACAGGACAAAUCUGUAAUGAGUCAAAGAGUUGAAAGAGGUAUUACAGGAAAUAUGAAUGUGGACUCUUAUAAAUACGAGAAAGCCAAGAGAAAAAGGCAUGGAAUAUGUGUGAUGUCAACAUUCUUCUUCUAACCACUUCUCUCAUUUUACUAUCCUUAUUUUCUUGCAAUUUUAUUUCCUGCAAUUGUACUCAUUGUGUGUUCACAGUGAAACGUUAUCCUUUAUAUCAAUUUUAGUACCAAUACAUUGGUGCUAUGGCAUGGGCUGAAUCAGUAUGAGCUCAUUGGAAAAACAUAGAAGCCGAGUAUAAUCGAUUGGAAGAGUUGCAAAGGAUCUUUGAUUCAUCUUUCCAGUAUGUUAAUCAUAUCAUUGAAUUUUAAUGCUGAACCACUGCUAUUGAAACCUCCAUAUCCAUUUGUUUUUACUCUGACUCCACCACCACCUCAGCCGAAACCUCCUGAUCGAAGCUUUGCGCAGAUUCCCGUGGAGUUUCAAGUGAUACGGAACUUCACCAUACAUCCACUGCCUCCAGAGCCUCUAGACACCGAUCACACAGCAGUGAAUACCAUAGUUUUGCCUUCUUGUGUGGAAAUAGCAGUUUUCCCACCAUCUGUUUGUGUGAAUGAUUGUGUCAUCAUCCAGCUAUUGUUGUUCAUGUUGUUUCGGUGUUUACCAUUGGUUCGACAUCUCAGCGAAAAGGACCAUGAACAGGUAAUCCUUGUUGUUUAUCUUAGUGUUGGUUCGUAUGCUCCUAUUUCUCUAGACUAUGGCUAUACAAUGAAUGUCUUUGAGAAGAGUGAGGUUUAUGGUUAUGGUGUAGUGUUGUUGAUUGUCUUGACUUGUAAGUAUAUUGAUGAGAAAUGGAAACAAGAACCACAUUUCCACAUGGUGACAUAUGAGAAUAGAUAAUUCAGGAACUUAGUUUUUGACAAGGUUCAAAUUCAUCAACAGCCAACCCAAAACAUUUAUGAGUUUGGUAGGAUUAUCUUGCCACAUAACCAGGAUGAUACAAUACUUUCAAGAGAUGUUGAAUCCCAAUAAAAAGAAUGGCACUCCUGUUGUUUUGAUUUGGUUUGAAAAUCUCCAGCAACGACAUCAAUUGUCGCUUGAACCAUACCAUGCUCACUUUUGGAGUUGCAUGAAUGCUAUCUCUCAUAAUGAUGUUAUGGCUAUUGUUCAAUUAUUUUCCUUUGUUGUCAAAUUGGUUGUUUCUAUUCCUGAAGAUGUAUCUCAAGCUAUGGGAUUGAGCCUUGCAUUUUUCAGGACAAAAAUUAAGCAUGAUAAGGCUCAUUAUUCAAUUUAUUUUCCUUUCUUCUCAUUAUUCAAUGUAAAACGAUACAAAACAACCUUCAGUAUGUGAAAGAGGCUGCCAUUGUGUUUGUUUUGUUUCUACAACCAAUCCAAAUCAAGGACAAGAGUUAUCAUAUAAUAACUACUUGGAUGUUAUUACUACUUUCAACUUUGUGCGUGCAUUUCAAAUUCCAUGUGGGGUAGCUUCAAGUGAUGUUGUUUUGAAAUCUUGUAGAAUGAACACUACAGCUUGUAGCUUCUCAAGAUUAGAGUAUAGCAACUUAGGGACUUCGCAAUUGGGUUGGAAAACGAAAUUUGAUGGGGAAUGGUGCAUAGAAGAUCUUUUGGUUUUGAGAAUUGACAUGGUUCAAAGAGUCAUACCAAAGAUGAAGUGUUAUGGGCAUUGUCCACAAGGUAUUGUAGUUUCUCUUUUGCAUUGGUCCGGGCUGAAAUUGGCGAGGAAACUCAACUUGUGGAAACCAUCUAGCCUGACUGCAGACGUAAAAAGAAGAGUAGUGAUGGAAAUGACCACUUUUAUGUUCAUAGAAACAUGUAUGCUUCUCUUAUUUAGUAAGGCUCCUAACAUCAAAUAUCAUAUUAAUGUUAAUCCUACCUCAUUGCUUGUCUAUGUUGGUAGUGAUAUACAAGAUCUUCUAGCAGUUUUGGAGGAAUUUUCUUGGGUGUUUUAUCCUAAUAAAGUUACUCUUGCUAGGAUGCGUCUUGAAGCUAAUAUGAAUUCUGCAUUGUAUUUGAGCAGAUACAAUGUCAAGGUUUUCCUUCUCAAGUGCCAUACGAUGGCAGGGAGAGUGAUAUCAAUAAAUGGAGUGUCCUUCAAAGACUGAGAAAUAUUAUAUACAAGACGAAGUUCUUGCUGAACAAUUGCAGGAUCAGGUGAAGAAGCAUCAUCGGCUUGAUGGGUGUAAAUUUAAAGAAGACUUGGGGCUAAAAGAACCAAGAGACAUGAACGAUCUUCUGGUUCAGGCACAUCCUUACAUCAAUUACGAAACAGCUGAAGCCGUCAAGAAGAAACAACCUUAGAAAGAGUACAAGCUACAGGACGACAGUCAAAAAACACGAGGGAACAAUUCUCGGUUCUCGGAAUACAGUCAGUUUAACGCUUCAUGAGAACAAGUUUUCAAGCAAUGGAAAACACAGAAUUCAAAGAUGCCGGCAUCAAAGCCCCAGCGCCGUUGAAGGAAAUACCACGCAGAGACAAGUCCAAGUACUGUAGGUUCCACAUAAGUAGCGGCCACAAUACAAGAAAAAAAAUUCCAGCUGAAGGAUGCAAUUGAAGAUCAAAUCAAAAAAGGGAAGUUGAAACGCUACAUCAAAGAUGAUUACCACAAAGGUGGUAAGAAGAAAUACAAAGACUCCAAUCACAAAUCUUCUCUCAGUAGUGAGUCCACAAAGAGAAAGCGCUCUCCUUCCUAGGAAGACACUCCACCCACAAAGAAACGAUUGACGUCGCUGACAGAGGCAAUAAGGAAAGGAAAAUGAUGACCACCAUUAGAAGAACGGUAAAACGUGUCUUCCUGGACGCCAUCAUGGGGAAUCUCCGAGAACGGGUCCAAAGGUACAUGAAGAGGAAGGUAGCUCAAAUGCUCGCAAUCAAUGUCACCAUACCAUCUUCUGAAGCUGAGUAUAGGACAUUAGCACAAGCAACCUUUGAAGGACAAUGGUUGUUGUAUCUUCUGCAUGAUUUCUUAGUUCCUCAUUCUUCAUCUAUUAUCAUCAUAUAUUGUGAUAAUCAAUCAGCAAAGCAUAUGGCUGCUAACCCUAUUUUUCAAGAGAGGACAAAGCAUAUCAAAAUUUAUUGUCAUGUUGUCAGGGAUAGAUUCACACAGGAAUGCUUCAUCCACUACCAGUGUCUUCCAAGGAAAAAGUAGCAGAUAUAUUGACCAAGUCACUUCACCCUGGGUCAUUGAACAUUCUUCGGCACAAGCUUGGAAUGAUUGACAUCUAUUCCAGCUUGGGGGGAUGUUGAAGCUAGUAUAGAUACAGUCAGUUAGUUAAUUAACUUGCACUGACCUUAACUCCUUGCUACCAUUCUCUAACUAUGAUUAGCUAUAGAAGUAACUACAGUUAGGAGGAUAUAAGUGAUAUAUAUACUCUUGCUAGUUCCACUUUGAAGGUGAGAAAAACACAAGAAGGGGGGGUUGAAUUGUGUUUUCUUUUUCUCUCUUAAAAAAUCUUCUUCUGAUAAACCUUCAGAAGCAGUUUGUGAGUGCUUCUGAUGAACUGAUCAGAAUUGGAUAUGCAGCGGAAAAGAACAGAGCAGAGAAAAGAAAGACAAAGACACAAGUAGUUAUCCUGGUUCCUUCCACAACACGGAAGUAGUCCAGUCCCCCUUGUACUUCCAAGGAGAUUUCACUAUAAUCACAAAGAUUACAACUGCUCAAUACUAUCUAAGUGUGAGACUUCACAAAGAUGCUCAAGCACACACGCAAGAGUCUUCCAAUGCUCAAGCACUAAGCAAGAGACUUCUAAUGCUCAAGCACGCAGGCAAGAGACUUCUGAUCAAACAAAAAUACAGAGAAUUGAGUUUGACUUGAACACUUGAUAUACAAUCAGUGGUGUUCUCAAUACAAUACAGUAAAGACUCUAGACUUUGAAUUUCUAAGAUGUAUCAAAUCAGUGCAGAAAUUCAGUGUGCUUUGUAGAAUCAAUUUGACAGAGUUUUGGCGCUUUUGAACUUGUAUAUCUCUAUCUUCUAUCUUCAAGUCUUCACUCCUUUAUAUAGAGGCGUGAAAGAGACGUUGAGAUAAUCAGCACGUCUAAAGAGUCGUUUGAAAUCCUUUGAUCAUCCACCAGUAAUCCUUUGCCUGAUUUGGGUGUAGUCCUUUGAAGAAUAAGCUUCAAAUUCAUUCCCAUCUUGAAGGCACAAAUUCUGCAGGCAUGGCUGUUGUCUUGUCUUGUAGUGUAGACAAAAAAACAGAGUAGUGGAGGUAGUGGUUGUACAC